rnacentral:lncRNA from 1 species
CCAAUGUGAGUACCACGCGGGAAUCACUAGGCACUCUAUCGAAAACUGCGCAGCGUUUAAAAAAUUAGUUGAAAGACUCAUUAAGAUGGGGAUCGUGAGAUUUGACGACCUAGCCACAUCCAAUAUAGCGGGAAACCCGCUCCCCAAUCAUACCGACCAAGGAGUGAAUGGGAUAUGCGAAGGCUUGAACAAGAAGACCAAGUAUGAGGUUGCGGAAGUCAGGACUCCGUUGAGGCGAGUAUGGAUGGAGAUGGUCAAGAGAGGAUUGAUCGCGUUGGAUUCGAGGGAAGAACCUAAAGAAGAGAGAAACUACUGUGAGUUUCAUGACGAAGUGGGGCAUGAAAUCCAAGAUUGCGUGGAGUUCAAGGCCCUAAUACAAAACAUGAUGAGCAAUAAAGAAAUGGAAUUUUAUGAAGAAGCCAAAAACCCCGUAGUGAGAGAUAUAUGCGCAUCAGAGGGGGAAUCGACGGCACAAAACCGAACACCUAACUAUCCUGUGGUGAUCAUUUCGAGACCCAAAAAUAAUAAAGCUGGAGUACAAAUGCCACCGAGGGUCAUAAUCCGAAGACCUGCAAUCUUCCCUUACAAAGACAGCAAAAAGGUCCCAUAGAAUUAUGAUUGCAGUGUGAUGACGCCGGAAAAGGAGAGCCCGAUUGACGCUUCAAUAGGGGAUCAGGACAAGGGAUCCUAUACACGUAGUAGGAGACGUUACGAUACGGUGAAUGAGGAGGCACAACCCACAAAAGGAAAAGCCCAGAUGGUCGAGGAAGUGAAAGGAAAAGCAACCAAACCUGUUAACGAGCUAGUUAACGAAGAAGAGGCCAAGAAGUUUUUAAAAUUCCUAAAGCAUAGCGAAUACAGUGUGGUGGAACAGCUACGCAAACAACCAGCCCGCAUUUCAGUGCUGGCUUUGCUUCUGAGCUCGGAAGUCAAUCGUAGCGCGCUAAUGAAGGUCUUGAAUGAAACGUAUGUUCCCAAUGAUAUCUCCGUUAACAAGUUGGACCGCUUGGUUAACAACAUCAGUGCCGAUAACUAUAUCUUCUUUAAUGACGAUGAGAUACCACCCGGGGGUAUGGGGUCGACUAAAGCUCUGCAUAUCACCACACGCUGUAAAAGGUAUACGCUACCCGGCGUACUAAUUGACAAUGGAUCCGCCCUGAACGUCCUACCAUUGACUACGCUGAACAGAUUACCUAUAGACAGCUCUCACAUGAAGGAGUGCCAGAACAUCGUGAAGGCAUUCGAUGGCACGGAGAGAAAGGUGAUGGGGAGAAUCGAGGUACCCCUUCAGAUUGGGCCAAACACAUAUGAGGUGGAUUUCCUUGUAAUGGACAUCAAAACCUCAUAUAAUUGCUUAUUGGGGAGGUCCUGGAUACAUUCAGCUGGGGCAGUGCCUUCCUCGUUGCAUCAAAAAUUGAAGCUGGUGUCGAAGGGAAGGUUGAUGACGAUUAAGGCUGAAGAAGAUAUUAUUGCAACUGUGAGCAAUAAUGCACCCUAUUUAGAGACAGAUAACGAAGCAAUCGAAUGCUCAUUUCGAUCUUUGGAAUUUGUUAACGCGACGUUCAUCGCCGAGGGAAGUAAAAUUCCGGUGCCGAAAUUGUCUAAAACCACAAGGAUGAGCCUCCAGCUGACAUUUGGAAAAGGGGCCCUACCCGGAAAAGGACUUGGGAGACAUCUACAAGGAAGAAUUGAAACACCAAUGCUGAAAGACAAGAGAGACCGCUUCGGCUUAGGAUUUAAGCCGGAUGCGAAAUAAAGGAGAAGAGAGCUGGAAAAGAAGCAGGAAAAAAGGAGAGCUAGAUUAACGGGGAAGGAAAUCAAGUGGGAACCAAUGAUAUUUCCCCAUAUAUCGAAAACAUUUGUGUCCGGGGGAAUCAUCUAUCCCGAAAGAGACACAUCAAUGAUGGGAGCUAUAGAAAAAAGCCUAGAAAGUUUAGACAUCAACGUCAUGUACGAAGAGGAGACCGGAAGAGAAAGUUUAUCAGACAUUGGCCCUUACACAUCUGGAAGUGUUCUGGACAACUGGACUGCGGAAGAGAUCCCUGUAGUUUUUAGAACGAAUACAGAGUAGUGUCCAAAACACACUUAUUGCUCUAGGCCUAGGAGUGAUAAGAAUCUUUUGUGAAAUAGGCUGAUGUUUAAAAAUGAUAUUUCAAUAAAAUGCACGGUUAUUAUCAUUUUUGAGCAGAUGUUAUCUCGUCCUUUCAAUUUCAUUUAUAACCAUACAAAUGAUUACUUUCAAAUUCUUUCAUUCUUGAAACAUUCUUUUACAUACUCUUUCAUUUGUCAUCCAUAAUCAUAUCACGCAAAUAAACAUUUCAAAUUCUUUUGAUUCUUUGUAUCUGCUUUCGUCCUCAUAACAGGUCCCCAGAUAUUAAUGAUACGAGUGACACUGAUAGUGACUCAGAAUUUCCUUUCGAGCAAGAUGUGUGUAUGGAUGAUUCUCAGGAUUUUGAAGAUGACCAAGGCUGUAACUUAUCUCCUGAUUUACUGAGGAUGGUAGAACAAGAUGAGAAACAAAUCCUACCUCACAAAGAAUUAGUUGAAAUUGUGAGUUUAGGAGAAGGACAGGAGGUGAAGAUCGGAACAUGUAUCACUACAGAGAUGAAGCGAGACCUCAUUGGAAAAGUCAUUAUCACGUAAAUUGUCACUCCAGCCUCGUUUAUAUUAUAUAUUAUGUUAUUUUUUUGGGGAUUCUAGGUGGGGAAAUAGCUCAAGAAUUCAAAAAUGUCUUCGCAUGGUCAUACCAAGAGAUGCCCGGGUUGGACACUGACAUCGUGGUGCAUCGACUCCCCAUAAAAGAAGAGUGUAAGCCAGUUCAGCAAAAACUCUGAAGAAUGAGGCCCUAUGUCUUGCUAAAAAUAAAGGAAGAGGUCCGAAAGCAGUUUGACGCUGGAUUUCUGAAGGUGGUAAAAUACUCAGAUUGGGUAGCCAACAUCGUCUCUGUCCCUAAGAAAGAUGGAAAAGUGCGAAUGUGUGUGGACUACAGAGAUUUGAAUAAAGUCAGCCCAAAAGACAAUUUCCCAUUACCUCAUAUCGACACCCUAGUGGACAAUACGGCGGGACAUUCACUAUUUUCGUUUAUGGAUGGUUUCUCGGGAUACAACCAGAUCAAGAUGCACCUUGAAGAUAUAGAGAAAACCACGUUUGUAACAAUGUGGAGCACGUUCUAUUACAAGGUGAUGCCGUUUGGACUGAAGAAUGCGGGGGCAACUUAUCAAAGAGCCAUGGUAACCCUUUUUCACGACAUGAUGCAUAAAGAAAUCGAGGUCUAUGUUGAUGACAUGAUAGCUAAGUCCCGAACAGAGAAGGAGCACAUACAAGUCCUGAGAAAACUAUUCUUGAGGUUGAGGAAGUUCCAGCUAAAACUCAACCCAACCAAAUGUACCUUCGGAGCUAAGUCUGGAAAGUUACUCGGAUUCGUGGUUAGUAAGAAAGGGAUUGAGAUCGAUCCAGACAAAGUUAAAGCCAUACAAGAGCUAUCCCCGCCGCGCACUCAGAAAGAAGUUCGAGGCUUUCUAGGAAGAUUAAAUUACAUUGCUCGGUUCAUUUCACAACUGACCGAGAAAUGUGACCCUGUCUUUCGCCUCCUCAAGAAAUGUAACCCAGGUGAAUGGAAUGAAGAAUGCCAAAGGGCUUUCGACAAGGUCAAACAGUACUUAUCCAACGCCCCGGUGCUGAUGCCACCUAAUCCCGAUAAGCCGUUGAUACUGUACUUGGUAGUAUUUGAGAAUUCUAUGAGGUGCGUAUUGGGUCAGCAUGACGAGUCGGGAAGGAAAGAAAAAGCCAUUUAUUAUCUUAGUAAAAAGUUCACAGAAUGUGAGACAAGGUACCCGCCGAUAGAGAAGUUGUGUUGUGCCCUAAUUUGGACAACCCGAAAGCUGAGGCAGUAUAUGUUGUAUCACACCACUUGGCUCAUAUCAAAAUUGGACCCUUUAAAGUACAUGAUGGAGUCAACAGCCUUGAAUGGAAGGAUGGCCCGAUGGCAGAUUUUGCUUUCUGAAUUCGACAUAGUCUAUGUGAACCAGAAAGCAGUAAAAGGAAGUGCAAUAGCAGAUUUUCUGGCCAGUAGAGCCUUGGAAGACUACGAGCCUCUGAACUUCGACUUUCCGAAUAAAGACCUAAUGUGUAUUGCUACGGCUGAAGAAGGUGCUCCGGAAGAACUUCCUUGGAAAUUGAACUUCGAUGGGGCAUCAAAUGCUGUGGGCAAUGGAAUCGGGACCGUCUUGGUAUCCCUAAACGGAGAUCAUUAUCCAUUAACUAGUAAAUUAGAUUUUGAUUGUACAAACAAUAUGGCGGAAUAUGAAGCGUGCAUCAUGGGUAUCCGCGCAGCCAUAGAAUGUAAGAUUAGAGUGCUAGAGGUGUAUGGGGAUUCCGAGCUAGUGAUUUAUCAACUCAAAGGAGAAUGGGAAACCAGAGACCCCAAGUUGAUUGACUAUCGAAAACUGGUCCUUGAAUUGGUUAAAGAGUUUGAUGACAUCACCUUCCACUACCUUCCACGAGACGAAAAUCAGAUGGCUGAUGCUUUGGCUACUUUAGCCUCCAUGAUCAAGGUAAACAAAUAAGAAGAUGUCAAACCCAUCCGGAUGAGCAUUUAUGAAAUUCUGGCCUACUGUUACAAUAUUGAAGAAGUUGAAGAAAGAGAUGAUAGCCCUUGGUAUCACGAUAUAUUGCAAUACGUGAAGAAUCGUACAUACCCGGACCAGGCGAGCGAGAAUGACAAAAGAACGCUAAAAAGACUGGCCAUCGACUAUGUCUUAGAUGGGGAUAUAUUAUACAAAAGAAGAAAGGAUCAAGUGUUACUAAGAUAUGUAGACGCUAUAGAGGCUAAGAAAAUCUUGGAAGAAGUCCAUGAAGGCGUCUGUGGGACAUAUGCUAACGGCUUUACAAUGGCCAGGCAAAUUAUGAGAUUCGGGUACUAUUGGUCCACCAUGGAAGGAGACUGUAUCAAUUAUGCUAAGAGAUGCCAUAAAUGCCAAAUCUACGGAAACAAAAUUCAUGUGCCUCCUUCACCGCUGCAUGUCAUGGUUUCUCCAUAGCCAUUCUCUAUGUGGGGCAUGGAUGUGAUUGGACCGAUAUCGCCGAAAGCUUUCAAUGGGCAUCGGUUCAUCUUCGUAGUUAUCGACUACUUCACCAAGUGGGUAGAAGCCGCUUCGUAUGCUUGUGUGACCAAGUCGGCAGUGAGAAAGUUUCUGAAAAAGGAAAUUAUAUGUCGAUAUGGAAUGCCGGAGAGGAUUAUAUCUGACAAUGCAUUAAACUUGAAUAAUAGUACGAUAGCAGAAGUCUGCAGUCAGUUCAAGAUCAGACAUCACAACUCGUCGUCGUAUCGCCCGAAGAUGAAUGGGGCAGUGGAAGUGGCCAAUAAAAACAUUAAGAAGAUUGUGGGAAAGAUGACCGAAACCUACAGAGACCGGCAUGAGAAGUUACCAUUUCCCCUCUUUGCUUAUUGAACGUCAGUCAAAACUUCAACUGGGGCAACCCCUUUCUCCCUGGUCUACGGAAUGGAAGCAGUGUUGCCAAUCGAAGUCGAGAUCCCGUCUCUUCGAGUGUUGUCAGAGUUAAAGUUAGAAGAAGCCAAGUGGAUCCAGUCUCGAUAUGAUCAAUUGAACCUAAUUGAGGAAAAAAGGUUAAGAGCUAUCCGUCAUGGUCAGAUGUACCAAAAGCAAAUGAUGCGGGCUUAUGACAAAAAGGUUCGCCCUAGAGAAUUCCACGAAGGAGACUUGGUUUUGAAAAAGAUCCUUCCCAUACAGAAGGACUUUCGAAGGAAAUGGAUGCCUAAUUGGGAAGGACCUUACGUGGUGAAGAAAGCUUUCUCUGGAGGAGCAUUGAUUCUAGCCGAGAUUGACGGUAGAAACUUGCCCAAUCCUAUAAACUCGGAUUCGGUCAAGAAGUAUUUUACCUGAAGAAAGAGAGGCCAGAGUGAAAACCCACAAAGGGCGCUCUGAAAAAAAGAAGAAGAAGGAGAGGCCAAGGUGAAAACCCACAAAGGGCACUUUGGAACCAAAGGGGUUUUUGAGUUGAAAACCCGAAAACGGACAGCUCAAAUUUUAAAUAUGGGGCAUAUGGUAGUCUUGUACUUCCAAAAUCAACAAGACAGAAGAACGUUACACCUUGGAGCAUCAACAAAAUACGCAGGAUCUCUUGAAUACACAUUUGGUUCGAAGGAACCCCUAAGAAACUAGAAUAGUGAAACUCGUGCUGCGAUAUCUGGGGCAUCUUUUCCUCAUUUUUCACACCUCACCAGAUUCGUUAUCCUAUGUAUUCACAUCAAAUUUUGCUUAAUAAAAUUCCAUUGGUCCAUUAUGAUAAUCUCUUUUGAGCAUUUUUAUUGAAAUCGAAAUUUUUGAACAUGUAAUAUUCACACAAAAGAUGUUAUGCAUAUUACUCUAAAAAAGUCUCUAAAUAGUACAAGGACCUGAAACAGGGCCACUAGUCAGGACUAACCAGGCUCAAAGUUGGAAAAUAUUGGAAAAAGAGAAAUCUAAAUUAGGACUAUUUCUUCAAAUUUUCUGUCAGAGAUAACGGCUAAGUAAGAAGACGCGAUAGUACAUCAAUGAUGGAACCCGGACGAGUUAUGAGCAAUGAUGCCUUAAGCGUUUAAAAAGAAAUCACUCUCAUAAUGUUUCUACAUUCAUAAUCAUUCAUUUAGUUAGGAACACUUGAUUCAUCUCGAUCAUAGCAUCCUAGUUAUUUGACAUACACAGAUACAGGAAACCCAUAUUAUACGUCAUGUCUUUAGAAGACAGUAUGGUGACAUUGGUAAAUUCUGUAGAUUUAGCGUCUCUGUAUUGGCGGAGAGCAGAUCAAAGAUAGCAGAUUUGGCAUCUCUGUAUUGGCGGAGAGCAGAUCGAAGAUAGCAGAUUUGACAUCUCUGUAUUGGCGGAGAACAGAUCGAAGAUAGCAGAUUUGACAUAUCUGUAUUGGCGGAGAUCAGAUCGAAAAUAGCAGAUUUGGCAUAUCUGUAUUGGCGGAGAGCAGAUCAAAGAUCGUAGAUUUGGCAUCUCUGUAUUGGUAAAGAGCAGAUCGAAGAUAGCAGAUUUGGCAUCUCUGUAUUGGCAGAGAGCAGAUUGAAGAUAGCAGAUUUGGCAUCUCUGUAUUGGCAGAGAGCAGAUCGAAGAUAGCAGAUUUGGUGUCUCUGUAUUUACAAAGAGCAAAUCUAAGACGACGAAUCUCGGCUUCCUAAAGUUACGGUGAAGCAGAUUUAAGCCAUCACUCUAGCUCCCUAAAGUUGUAGUGGAGUAGGCUGACGAUUGCAGACCUCGUCUCCAGUGGAGCAGAUCAGAGAAAACGAGCCUUAACCCCCUAAGUAGUAGGGCAACGGGCCGAAGAUUGCAAGAUUCGUCUCCCUCAAGUUGCAGUGGAGCAAAAUCAAAGUUACAAUCCUUAUCUCUCUGAAAUUGCAGUAGAGCAAGAUAGAAACACACGAACCAUAUCUCCCUGAAGUUGCAGUGGAGCAUUUUGUAGCUACCUGAAGAAAGGAAGCACCAAGGAGUCGAAGCUCAGCAGGCCCUGGCAAAAUUAGCCCAUUUAUAGUCUUUGCUCUAUUCUCAUUCCACGAUAAUGAGCAAAGAGGGGCAAUGGCAUUGUGAAAACGAAGUACUCAAUUCUGAAACCGUUCCUUAAUUUGAUUAAGAAAGGUAAAUGAUAAAUAGGCCCAUGAGAUUAAAAUUGGUUAAUAAGUGACAUUGAAUUCAAUCAAGUGAACUUAUCACUGAUUUUGUGAUUGGCAGGAGGAAUUAGUGAAAUUUUAUAUUAUAUGAUUGUUAUAAAAUGAUCGGUAAGAUUUAUUUUCUAUGCCUAUGAGCUUACUAAGCUUCUAUAAGCUUACUUGUGUAUGUUUAUUGUUCAUGUAGAUUGAUGUAUAUGCAUUCGGAGGAUCGGAUCUACAUCGAGGGUCACAUUAUCUAGAUUUACUCCAGUAGAUUUUGUUAAACAACUUUUUGAUUUAUAUGACAUGUAUAGGGGUUGAAAUGAUAAUGAAAUAGUUGGAAUGAUUAAUUAUGUAAAGUAAUUUGAAUGUAAUGCGUUCGAUAAUGAAAUAUACAUGUUUUGGCUUGAAAUGGUUAAUUGGUUGGACUUUAUUAGUAUAUAAAUGUGUUUUUGUACAGAAGGAUAGCAUGAGGAUGAGAAAAGUGGCCUUAAAUAGCCUAGUUUCGUCCACACGAGCAGACACAUGGGCGUGUGUCUGGGCACACACGCCCGUGUGUGACACACGGCCUACCACAUGGGCAUGUGUUAAGGCCGUGUAUCCCCUGCAUCUUUAAAAUGAGAAAUAGAAUGUCCAAGAUUCGACACACGGCCUAACACACCGGCAUGUGGCUUGGUCGUGUGACACACACGGGCUUCAGCAUGGUCGUGUGAUACGGUCGUGUGAAGUCUGCACAUAAAAUGAGAAAAUUUAAUUACCACACGGCCUAGAAACAGGGGCGUGUGCUCAGGCCGUGUGACUUAAGUUUCUUCAUAGAUGUAAGUCAAAGAGGUACACACCCUAGAGACAUGGCCAUGUGGGCUACACAGCCACGCCACACGGGCAUGUCCCAUGUCACAGAGGCGUGUGACACCUUUUAUAUUAAAUUUUUUCUAAGUUUUCUAAAAAGUUUUUAAAAUUUUCGGUUUAGUCCUGAACCAUUUCCAAUGCAUGUUUUGAGCCUCGAAGGCUCGUAAUAGUGACAAUAUGUAUGUUUUUGAAAAGUUUUAAAUUUGAAUGGAAAUUAUUGUCUCGGUUUUGAAUGUUUGCUUGUGAAUAAGUCUGAUAAUGCCUCAUACCCUAUUCCGGCGUUGAAUAUGGGUAAGGGGUGUUACAUGGUGUGUGUGAUUGGGUAGGUUCACUUUGUAAGUUGAAGAGAGUGUAUAUUUAUCACUAAGCUAGACUCCAUAGGCAUAAGAAAAUCUAACUACGUGAUCAUCUCUUUGUGUCUCGUGUGAUUACUGUUCUUCAUUUAGUGCCUAGAGGAGUGCCCACCAUCUCAGGCACCAAUUUGGUUAUGCAUCUUCUACUCUUGGCAAUGACCCUUUUGUUAACAAUUGGUAUCAAAGGCUACCACUUAAAGUAGCUAGUGGAAAUCCGAAGUUUUACUAAGAUUUAGGUAUGGAAGGUUCAUCCACAUCGAAACCUUCUAUGCUCAAAGUUGGCAAUUAUACCUACCGAAAAGCACACAUGAAAGCCUAUAUAAUGUUAAUUGAUGAGAAAGCAUGGCAUGUGAUCCUAAUUGGAUGGGAAGUAUCUAGGAUGGAUGGUGAGAAUUGUACAAUUAUAAAGCCAAAAAUUUAGUGGGCCACUUAGGAAAAGAAGUUAACAAACACUAAUUUAAAAGGAUUGCCAAAUGCACAAUGGCAAAGAACGCUUGGGAUAUAUUAGAAACCGCCUAUGAUGGAGCCUCCGUAGUCAAGCAGUUAAAGAUGCAAAAGUUGACUUCUAAAUUUGAAGGCUUGAGGAUGUAGGAAUCAAAGACAACAUGUGAAUUUUAUGCCAAGUUGUAUGACUUAUCAAACCAAGCUUUUGCAUUUGGGGAGGAGUACUCAAAUACCAAACUUAUGAGAAAGGUGCUCAAGUCUCUCCUUAAAAGAUUUUUAAUCAAGAUCACUGCUAUCGAGGAGGCCAAUAAUCUUGAAGAACUGAUCAUAAACGAGGUCCUUGAUUCUCUUCAAACAUUUGAAAAAAUAGAUUGCAAAUUUUCAAAUUUUCAUAUAUGAAUUGUGUUAGGAUUUAGAGCUUUACAGCAAUAGUGGUUUAACUUAUGUCAACAAUGACAACCACAUCCCAGAAGAACACCAAUUUUAGUUGUCAAAUUGUUACUUUAUUAUUGUAUUUGUUUUUUCAAUGUAAUAUGCAUCAAAAUAGUACUUAAAAUGUCUUUGUCGAAACUAUUUUUAUUUGAAAGAAAGACGGGAAUCGACGUUUUAAAACUAAAAUGUGGAGUCGCCACCAAUCUCUUGGUUUAGAUGUGAUUAGGCUACCUACUAAAAUAUUUUGUUUCAUUAAAAACAAUUUUGGUUCAUGUAAAAUUAAAACAAAUGGGUUCGGGAGUUGGUUACGCAUGAGAAAGGAUGAGCACCCUCAUUACGCCCAAAAAUUGGUACCAAAUUGAUUCAAUGCUAUCCUUAUAUCAAAGAUUUUAAAAAAAUCUUUCGAAGUAUAAUUCUUUUUAAAAUGCUUGAUUAAUUCAAAUUAGCGGUCAAAAUUCUCUCGCUUCGAAGAUAUGCAGCAUCAUAUCCAGCACGAUUGGACACGAUCCUUUUAUAUCUCUGAAAAUACGAUCGAUUUUUGAUCCUCAAAAAUCCGUAAAAUUAUAAAAGGAUAUCCAAAUAUUUAGUUUACCGAAAAAAUCAUACCCAGCACGGUAGGGCAUGAUUUCCCGAAUUCCCAAAUAUUGAAUAUUGCCUUAUUUCAAAAAAAUUUUUUGAAUAAUAAUGAAAAUUAGAAAUUAGCUUAGAACACGUUUACUCGUUUUUAAAAGAAAUAAGAUAGAAUACUUAAUGUAUCACAAAGAAAUAUUUGUAUAGAAAAGGAUAAACCAUUUUAAAACCAAAUACAACUAAAUACAACUAAUCUAGGCAAAUGUAACCAAAUCCUUAAUCAUGAAUGGAGAGCCAUUGAUACAACGGAUAAAACAAUGACUAAGUGAUGUACAUCAACAAUAAAUAUGGCACAAUAUAAAACAAUUCACAAAAUAUUUACAAAAUAAAAUGAAAAUUUGAAGUGGUAUAAGACAUUUUCAAAGUAAUGAUGAAUUAAUAAACACUAUAUAUAUAACAUAUAAGUUAACAAAUUUACAUAAAAACUAAGGGUAUAUAUUUAUUGAAAUAGAUAUUAUAGAAUAAAAGUUUGAAUCAAAUUAUAUGUAAAAUAUUUUAAACAAAAAUUCAUUCAAAAAUUGACAAUUUACGGAUAACUUAAAUAAUAUAUUAAAUAUGAAUGAAUAAUUAUACAUGAUGAGGUAUAGUACACAUAAUAGAUUUUUAAAAACAUGCAUAUAUAAAUAAAUAUAGGAAUAAUUAUUUAUAAAAAAAAUAAUAUGAAAUUAAUAAUACAUAUAAAAUUAUAUUAUCUUAUAAAUUAUAUACAUACCAUUAUAUUUAAAAACAUUUAGAAGAGAUGCUAAAUAACAUACUAAGAUAAUAUAAUAUAGAGAAACAUUUCAAAAUAACAAUUUUAUAAACACAAAGAUGAAGUUCCAAAAUAGUAUCAUAUAUACAUAAAAACAUUUAAGUGAGUCAUAAAUCAAGAAGUAUUUUAAAUAAUUUAUGUAUCUACAUAUAUAUAUAUAUAUAUAUAUAUAUAUAAAUAUUUAAACAACACUUUAUAAUAAGGAAGUAAAAUAAUGUAAUGUAAAAAGAAUUUUAAAACAUUCAAAAUAAUAGUUCUUAUAGAUUAAAAAUUUAAUAAGAAUAAUGUGUAUACAAAUAUGUGUAAAAUAUUUAGAGAAGUAGGAUACAUAAUGUGAAAAUAAGAUAAAAAACAAUCUCAAAAUAAUUAUACAAAUGUAAACAAACAAAAUUAUUAACAUGGAUUAAUGCAUAAAAAUAUUAAAUGUAUUUUAAAUUAAUUGAUUGUACAGAUAAAAGACCAAAUUAAGGAAGAAGAGCUUAUUCAACUCGAGGGUCAAAGAAGACCAAGUAAGAUUGAAACAAAAUAAGGAGGAUAAUUUAUAAAUAAAGUAAUCGUAAAAUAGAUCAAUGCGCAACGCGCGUAAAUGUAUGGGGACUGGAAUUGAAAUCUCCCCGAGCCCUAAACGUAGCACUGUACCGUGGACGAAGAUGAAAACGCGCACAAAUUAAAGAGCCAAAUUUAAAAAAAAAACAAGGCAGAAUGAAUAUGGUGCAAUCGAAUACUCGCGAGGAAAGAAUGAUCCAGCGCACAAUUUCCCCAUUCAAACAAAAGGGCGCAGAUCCGACUUGCUUAUCGGUACAAUGCGAGAAUCUGCAUUAUCAUAAACGGCGCCGUUUUUUGCAAAGGUUUUAAUGGCCUGUUUCCCUUCUUUUUUUUUUUUAGAUGCAGCCAUACUUUUAACCCAAACUAAUAGCCCCAAAAAUCAAUUUGCUAGGGUUUCUUUUGCCAGCAGCCGAACCACCAUAAUAUUUGGUGAUCAACAGUACGCAAACAGUACCCGAUCCUACCAUUGAAGGUGCUCGACCAUGCCGCAAAGGAUUUGGUAAGUAUAUUUUUCCUCCUUUUCUUCUUUAUUUAAAAAAAAAAACUUCAAAUCUCAUGUUGUUGUUUUUUUUAAAAAAAACCGUAGAAAAAUUCAUAAAAUAAAGAAGAUUUCAUCACUAUUCGACUUCUCGCCCUUACCUCCGCAUUUCUGAGGUAUUUAGGCUCUCAUUGGUGUCGAUUCACAUGCUAAAAAUCCAAGCCAAUAGAAAGAAAAUAAAUCAGAAUAGAGGAAAUAAAACUUGAAAUCACCUUUGCUAAAAGAAUUGCUUUUUCUUUCUUCUCUAUGCGUGCGUUUACGUUCGUAAGUCCUUUUUGCAAAUACAAUCAUCGGCUUUUAUAGCCGGAUUUACAGAGUAAAAUAAAAAAUAAAAAUACACUUUUAUUGUUGUCAUUUGUUGUAUUCUGUUAGCUGGCCUCUUCUCGUGUAUUCUAACGCAGGGAUGGCCGUACGGAGGAGAGAGGAGAUGCGCGAAGGAGACCGUGCGAGGAGCCUCUCAUGGGAGCCCAACUCUCUGGCAUUCCAGAAGCUUCUGGUGCUCUGGGCUGCUGUGUUUCUUUUUGGGUGUAUUGGGCCUCGGGUUUGGGCUAUUAAAAUUGGGUUUUAGGGUUUAUUUAAUUGAGUCGAAUUUUAUGUAAUUGGGUUAAGGGAUUUUGGGUGUUUGUUCAAUUGGGUUAGAAAAUGUAUUUAGGCUGCUUUUAAUUUUAUUAUUUGGGGCUGAUGGUUUGUAAAGAUUCGGACAUUAGGAAAUUAUUAUUUAUUUAUUUUAAUUUACUUUUGGUUUUAUUGCGGGCCGGACGAAUUGGGCCUAUUACAGUCUUAAAUAAGAUUAUAACAAAAUUAUUUUUCAUCAGGCAAAUAUAGAUAAGGCAUAAUUCUAAAAAAUAAAAAAAAGAAAAUUAUUUAAAAAAUCUAACUCUUCUGCUACUCUCAUUACGCAUCAUUCGACUAUUGUAGUGACUUAGCCAUCACUACCCCAAAUUCAAAUCCUUCCUUUCAUGAUUAUUCGGAAUAUAAUAAAGAAUAGAGAAUUUGAUGCUUUUUUCUUUUUCUUUUUCUUUUUUUACCUUAUUAAAUUUUUAAAGAAAAAAUAUAGUAGCAGUGAACUAAAAUGGAGGAGAUAGGGCGGACGAUAAGGAGUGAGCAAUCGAUAAAUCAUUGUUUAAUGUUUAGUGGGUGACGAGCCUUGGAGUGAGAGAGGUUAGUUGCUGAAAUUAAAACGGAUUAAUCAAUUAGAUUGAGAAUCGGUCUGUGAAGUGGUAUAAGUCAUUAUUAAAUCGCGAUUCGUAAAUCAAAUAAAUUAAUAAUUGGUUCUUUAAUAUUUUUUUUAGGCCAAAACCAAUAUAUAUAUAUAAUUCCAAAUCCCUUGAAGCUUCUGUCUCUGCUAAAAUCUUCACAUCCCCCUUUGUUUUUUUUUUUUUUUUUUUGCUAAAAAAACCAAGCUUCGUGGAGUGUAAGGUGGCUAUAUUUGAAGUAAUGGGUAUCAACAAUCGUAUUAAAAGCAAUGAAGAGAAAGAGAUUAAAUAAAUCCUUAAAGUCCCUUAAACGGUGCAGAAUAAGGAUAGUAAAAUUUGAACCUCUCGAUUGAUUUUAAAUUGAUUCGCUGGGGAUGAUUUUUUUUUUUAAAAAAAGUAGAUACGAGAUGAGGUGAUUUUUUUUUUUGAAAAGUGGGUACGAGGCGAGGUGGAUUUUUUUUUAUGACCAAUAAGUAUAGAGCAAUUAUGAUAAUUACUUGUCUCACCCUCUCCCUUUAUAAAGUUAUCAUUUUAUUCUUAUAUAUAACUAUUAAAAGGAUAAAAAUUAAAAAAACAUAUUAUAGAAAAUAUCCACAUAUUUUUAUGUUUAAAUAUUUUUUGAAUAAUUAUGUUUGAAUAAUUAUUUGGUUUUAAAAAAUUGAAAAUAAGAUAAGUAGCAACAAUUAAAUUGAAGCAUUGUGGGGUGAGUGUUGGAAAAAUCAAUUUGAAACCGUGUUUGUAUGCAAAUCCAAAGUUUAAAGUUUUCUUUGAAAUCGACCGGUUAUGAUACUUGUAGCAAUAAGCUUAUUACGCAAAUUACACCUAUGUUUUCGGGUUAGACAAACUUUGUCAUUCCCAGCUUUCUACUGUUGAUCUUCUCCGUUAAUCUCAACCACGGUUUGCUAGAGUCUAGGCUCUAUUCGCAAAUCAAUGAAAGCUAUGUAAACUUUCAAAGGUUAGAAACCAAACACAAACUCAAUAAAACUUGACUAUAUUUUUCCAGAAUAUCGAAGUGUGUAUUUGACCUAAUUCUUAGUUUCUAUUUAUAGAGAAGAUAACAAGUGUCUCAAUCAAACAAGGCGUGACUGAAUAAUAAUAUUUUAAAAGGAAAACCGACUCCCACUAGGAAAGUAUGCAAAGGGUGAAGACAACUCCUUUCCUAGGAUUAGGGUUUGUCACCCCUUCCUUUUAACCAGUCCUAGUUGGGCCUCGUCAUGAAUUAGAUCUAAUUUUAUGUGUUAUCUGGUCUUUAAACCAACUCAUAUAAUUUAUCCUACCCAAUGAAUAUAUUUUCUAUGCCCCAAAUAUUAUUUAUUCUUUUAAUUAAUUAAUUAAACUAAUUAUAUUAUUUUCUCAACCCAAUUCUAAUAUUGUUAAGGUAAUGCUGACUUUAUUGUACUAGAAUCUAUGAGCAAAUUAAUUUAAUUAACUUGUUCUUAUGAAACUACGAUAACUUAAUUAAUUUAACUUUCAUUUCAAACUUCAAUUAUUUAAUUAUAAUUUAAUUAAAUAAUAAUUCAAAGAAAUUAAUUUAAUUCCUCAAUAAUUUCUUGCUCAUAGUGAGAGAAUGCAUUAUUUAGUCAUAGAGUCAUUCGACUAAAGUACAAUGAUUGAACUCUCCAAUCUUUUCAUUGUAUACUAUUACUAUAUCAAGUGUUCAUCCAAUGACCUUGUGAUAUGAUGUGUUACCUUCAUAACACAUCCUUAAUCUCUUUGGGAUAAAAGUCGUUCUCUCAAUAUGAUCUUUUAUCUCAUAGUAACUAUUACAUAUUCCUUCAUGAAAACGUCAAUUACUAACAUGUAGUAAUUAAAUCAUUCAUCUUAGGACAAAUGACCCAUGGCCACAUUACUUUUCUAUCCAACAUGUAAUGUUGAUGAGAGGAUAUCAUAUACCUUUAUUGAUCUAUGAAUUCCAUCAUUGUAAGUGAAGAUAUGUCAUACGAAAGUUGUAUACCUAAAGUAUCAGCUUUCGACUCUAUUACCAAUUGAACUCAAGCUUUUAAUUCAGUACGGUAUAUGAGUCAAGCAUACAUACUCCAUCAAUUACUAUGGAUUGAAGUAAGUCACAUUAUGAAUGCCACAAGUGAAUAAGUCCAUAAAUAAAUCUAGAUUUUAUUCAACUUAGGUCAUGUCUGAUAUACUACAAGUCCAGUUAGUCACAUUUAUAUUUCUAUCUUUUGGGAGUCAUCCGCUCCAAUACCUAUGAAAAUAUCCUAAUUGGACAUGAUAGACGACAUAAUAGUUUUUUUAAUUAAUUUGCUUAAUGUUGAUUAGACUAUAUACCUUUUUAGAUUAUCUACUAAUAUAAGUUGUUUUCUUGCUUUAUAAUCUGAUCACAUAAUGCAACGUAUUAUUAGUUAAACAUUAGAUAAUCAAUGCGCUAAUAUUUACUUUUAUUUUGCUUUGCGUGCAAAGAGGACAUUAUACAAAAGAUAUUAAUAAUAACGAUGGAAUUUCACUAAACCAAUUUGUUUGAAAGAUUACAAGUACAUAAAGUACGUAGACAAUAUCAUUAUACUAAGGGCACUAAAUCCCAGCAGUGACAUAAGGAUGAAUGCAUCCAACAUCCAUGGAGAUGGUAAUGGUUUUCAAGAUUAUAUAUUCGUAAUGAAGUGAGGUAAGUGGUGGAACAUAAUGUGUUAGCUGUGAAAUGAUGAUGAAUUUAAUAAUAUUUAUACCCACUUCACUUUAUUGCCAUCCUUAUAAAUAAGUGGUUUUUUUCUCAGAGUUUGAAUCAAAAGAGAAACAAUAUAAUGAUUAAAGAGAAGGAUGAAAGAUUAUGGGAAAAAGAGAGAUACUGAUGAAAAAAAAGAAAAUUAGAGGUGGUAGGGAAAAUGAAAACUAAAAUACAGUGAAAAGUGAUAAAAUUAUGCUAAGAUUUCAUUUUUAUUAUAUUUUUUAUCAAUGAUCUAUAAAUUAAAAAUUCAAAUUAAUUUUAAGUUUGUUUAUUUUUUCUUUAAAGUGCUUUUUUUUUAAAAAUAAUUAGAAUUUUAUAUUAUUGAACCUCUUGAAUAAGGAAACGUUAUUUUGAUUGGUUCCACCACUUGUGUAGGAUUUUAGGGGAAAAAAAACAGGCUUUGGAAAGAUCUGUGACCAUUCCUUAAUUGCGCCCUACUUAUACACACGUCACACAACUAAUAUUAAAUAGUCAAGAAAUGGGCCAAUUCAACCAACCAAGGGCAAAGGCCUUUUUCUGUUACAUGUUUACAGCGUAGCCCAUUAAAAGGCUGGGCCUGAAGAAAGCACAAGUUUUUCAACAUUCUUUCUUUUUCCAACCAUAUCUCUCUUCCCACUUCUUGAAUCUCACAGUUUUGGGGAGAAAGAAACAGUGGAAGCUAAAAAGAAUGCCGAUGAAAGUAGUGGAUUCAACGGUUUCAAGCUUUGGCGGUAUGUUUGAGAAAUUCAGAUCAGAUGCACCCAACUACAAAGCCAGUUUCAUCCUUUUCUUGGCCGAUAAAGACCCCUCUACCUCUCUUAGUUGGUGUCCUGGUACUUUUCUUCCUCUUUUUGGUUAUUAAUUCGUCUCUCUUCAUGUGUGCAAGUCUUGAGUUAAUAGAUGAUGUGUUUUUUUAUCACCCCCCCAAACAAAAUCCCCAUCGCCUCUUAACCUCAAAAUAAGGUAGGUUUUAGUCGAGGAUUGAUUUCUAAGAUUGUUUACUAGUAUCGUUUGUUUUUGCGUUUAGACUGUGUAAGAGCUGAACCCGUGAUAUACAAGAAAUUGGAAGCAUCGCCAGAGGAUGUGACACUGCUGAGAGCAUAUGUGGGUGACAGGCCAACAUGGAGGAAUCCACAGCAUCCUUGGCGGCUUGACUCAACAUUCAAGCUAACUGGAGUCCCAACUCUGCUUCUUUGGGAUUCCAACAAUCAAGCCAUCAAAGCUCGUUUAGAGGACCAUGAAGCACACCUUGAACACAAAAUUGAUGCGCUUCUCUCCUCCAAAUAAAACCAACCUACUACUUUCAACUAUUGAAUUUUCUAUAUUGCUUCAGAUUUAGAAUAAGAUUGUCAUCAUACCUCAUUUCUGUACGAAAUGGAACAUUCUUACGUAUUAGUAAUGCCUUGUAGUCCUUUAUGAUGUGCACUAGACAUUGGUGAACUCAAAUGAGUACCAUUUAUUUUCUGGAUAUAAUGGAAUUACAAUGAUAACAGUAUAUUAUGUCAUGAUACCAAUCUUUAAGAAUAAAACGCAGUCACUAUUAUUGAUUAGUAAAACAGACGGGUACCUGGAAUUGUAGAAGGCAGCUUCUUCAUCAGUUCUGGUGAGUAAGAUGUGUGGUGUAGAUGGGAGCAGUUUCCUUUUCCGCAUAUGCUCUCCACCAAUUCAUUCGAACAUCUGUAUGACAAUCGAAUCGGCUCCUUGCAUUUGAAGAUUUUGAGUCCUUGAGCCCAGGCAUCACCCUAGUCUCUAUCACAAUCUCUUUCUGCCGAGGGAAUUGGCGUAAAUUUAAAUAUUGAAGCUUUUUGAACCCUUCAACCAAACACAGUCGCUCUUCUACAAAUGCGUUAUUGGAAAGAUUAAGUUUCAACAAAUUAGGCAAUGCCUGUGGGUGAGAAACUGCAUCUUCCCCCACUUAAGUAAACUGCAGUGGCAAGAAUUUGAGUUUGAGCAGGGUGUUAAACCAAUGUGGAACUUUCCCCAAUUUCCCAUCUAGUGUCUGCUUCUCAAGGUAUGGACUAUGGAGGAGCUGAUGAAAGUGCCUCCAGCUUUAUUGUAGCCUGUGUCGGACCCAACCAUAAGUUGCGAAGGCAUUCCAUUCCUUGUUAAUUGUUCCAUUUCUUUAAGUAACAAGGCGCUUGUUACUCUCAGUAGCGAUACAACUUGCAAACUCUUUAUCAUACAAAUAUUUGGGGUACAACUAUGCUCCAAAUUUCCUCAAGGAAAUAUUUCAGUUCUCUCUUUGUCAAGUAGGAAGCGUUUAGUUGCCUCAAAUUUUGCAGCUUCACAAUUUCAUUCGGAAGCUUCUCAAUUUUGGGAGUAAAGACUGCAAGUUAAAAAGUUUACCUAUGGACUUUGGGAGCACCUUCCCUUGAGUUCUUGACAAGUUGAGAUAUCUUAAAUUUAAUAAAUGUCCAAACUCACUGGGUAGUUCAUCGAUUGGAGCAUCUUCUAAAUCCAGCACUCUUAACAAUUUUAAACCAGAUGGCAAUUCAUUGAAUUUACAAGUUUCAUCAACAACAAAAAUGAUCAAGGAACGAAGUUGUGAUGUACCAUUUCCUGUCUUUAUUUCUUUAUCCUUCACUUGGAUUGAGCAGCGAUGAUUUCCUCUUUGUUCUUCUCCUUUUUCUCCAUCGCAUGCAGCAAGAAAACUUUCUUCUUUUGAUAUCGAAAGUGCAAAAUCUCAUAUAAGAUCGUGCAUUUUAAAUGACCAAGGCAUUCCAAACUCAUUUCUAAAACUUCGGCUAAUAAGUUCCAUUAGAUAGCUUUUAGCAACUGCUUCUGGUAGUAUGUCGUUACCCAUUUCUAAAACUCCUGCCAUCCAUAGUCUACUAAUUCUAUUUCGCCUAAUCUCAUAAUCUUCUGGUAAAAGGGAGUACAAGGAGAAAUGUUUGAGUUGGAAAGGCGGAUUAUGGUAAGUAAGCAGUAAGAUAGUUCUCGUUAGUUCAAGUGAAGGGUUGUUGCUUAGCUCCCAAGCCAAAUUAUCACGCACUCUCUUCCAUUCGGAUAUCGACUUCUUUGAAGACUUCAUACCACCUAGAGUCGCAAUAGCCAACGGCAGGCCUUCACAUUUUUCAACUAGGUUUCUUGCCAAUGAAUCAAGAUGCGACUGACACCAUCCUAGCUCGUUUGGGAAAGCUUUCUUACAGAAAAAUUCCCAAGCAUCAUUAUCUCUGAGGGGUAGAAUUCGGUGCACAUAACUUACAAACCUAGGUUGAAGAGGUGCUACAUCUUCUCUUCGAGUAGUAACCAUGACCCUGCUUCCGCACAUACCUUCAGGAAAUGCAAUACUGAUCUCCUGCCAGAAUUGAUGCUCCACACCUCGUCUAAGACAACAAGGCACCUUCUUGACUGCAAGAACUGCACAAGUCUCCAAUAAUGCUCUAUAGGUCAUGGUAUCAACAUGCAUCGGAACUUCUUCAUUUUUCUGUUUGUAGAUAUCUUUUACCAUGGAUCUAAACAACUCUUCAAUUGCAUAUUGUUGGGAGACAGUGAUCCAAGAGCAAAAUUCAAAAUGCUGUUUAACACUUUGUUUGUUGAAAGUGUUGGCAACAAGGGUAGUCUUUCCUGAACCACCCAUGCCAACCACAGAAAUGAUGGUCCGCUGGGGUUCUUCAGCCAUUAGCCCUCUUAGUAACUCAUAUUGUGCUUUUUUUUAUUCCAACAAGAUCGCCAUCUUUAAUGAAAAGUGAUGACUUGCUAAGUCUGUUCUUCCAAUUAGGAUCAUUGGGAGAAGAAGUACCCUUCUUCCAGUUGUUGAAUACCAAAUUGAUGGGCUCUCUCAGUGAUGUUUUUCAUCCUUUGGUUGAUGUCUUGCAACUUGGCUUCUACUUCAUGCCUCACAUACUAAUCCUUGGGGGAAAUGAAGACUUAAUUGGAAGAAACUUUUACAAUUGUACCUUUUGCCAUUGUUACCACGCCAUUGUUGUCAGUUAUUCUCAUGGUAGGGGAAUUCAUCAAUGAUGUCUUGAACUUCACAUGCUAGCUCCCGCACGUUUUUCACCCAAAACAUCUGGAUUUGAUUUUAGUCCCUGCUCUAUCAGCAUCCAGGAGAAAGACUCUCAUGCUUUCUAGUAGACGAUUCAUUUCUCGGAUUUUGUCAGGAAUUCGCGAUAAAGAAGAUGCUUCAUUCAAUAAGAGUAACAAGAGUUUGCCUAUUACAAGAUCAGCAGAGCUUAAACUCAUUUUUUUUACUGAUUGUAAUCAAAUCAAAAAUUUCAAUCUUAUUGUCUUUUGGUUAAAAGGUUAGGACAGAAAGGCCCUCAAGGAGAAAGGAAGGCAUGCCUUCGGAGAUUCUUAGGUUGCUAAUACUGCAAGAUAGGGAUUAUGAAGCGUACAAGAUAGGGAUCAUGAUACCAUUCCGUUAAUGGCGAUUGAUUCAAACAGAAAAUCGUUGCUUGGCUCCUUUACCAAUAGAAAGACUGUUUUCUCGAUUUUUAAGCGGCUGGUAAUACAAGAUAAGGAUCAGACAAUUAAGAAGCUAGAAAACGUUCAAGUUCAGAAACAGACUUUAGGCCAUGAAAAACAUUCCGUUAAUGGUGAUUGUUGUUCCAAUAGGGUCGGAAGCGUGUAAAUUAUUGUACUAAAAAAUCACACAAAGUUCAAUUCCCAGGGAAGAGAGGUGGAUCACAAGGAUCUCUUAAAUACCAAGUCUUUCCUUAGACAGAAUAUCCCUUCUAUAGUAAUUUAAUAGCACAAUUAAAUACUACUAUUAUACCCUCAAAUAUUGAAAGAAAAAUAGGACAAGAAAGAACACAAGAGUUUUAACGAGGUUCGGUAAAUUAUACCUACGUCCUCGGGCACUAACACCAGAUGAUAACUUUACUAUCUUCAAAGUAUUACAAACAAAUAGAAUUCCUUAAGAAUUCUCAAAUGGGAGAAGAGAGAAAACUAAGAGAGAAAGAUUGGUUGGGAUGAAUUGAAAUGAGAAAUGAGAAGGCCUAUUUAUAGUUGAGGUUUAAGGACCAAACAAUAAAUAGCCCAUUAUCUCAAGGACCAAAAAAAAAUUAUCCCAUGCCACUUUUCCAAAGUCAAAUUUAGGGUGCUAAACUUGCACCACUUUGUAUUGUUUGCCAUUAAUGUUGUCUCCCAUUAAUGUUAACAAUCUCCACCUUGAAGAUUUGAUUAGGAUAAUCACAUCUUCACACACUUCCUUCAACUCCCCAAAUUCGAUAAAGCUAUCUUUUGUAGUGCCUACAAAUGCACUCUCGGGCGCCAUACACCUGAAGGUGCUCAAAUUCUCAGGAUGUUAAUCAAGUUCAAACAAUGAUUAAACUUGAUUGUUGUUACCACCUUGGUCAUCAUAUCUGCGGGAUUAUCUGCUGUCGGAAUCUUCUGAAGUAGAAUUUUUCCUUUUUCAAAGACUUCCCGCACAAAGUGAUAUCUUACGUCGAUAUGCUUGGUUCUUGAAUGAUAGACUUGAUUUUUCGCUAAAUGAAUAGCGCUCUGACUGUCACAAUAUAAACUUAUGUGACUUUGAACAACUCCUAAGUCUUUCAACAAUCCAUUAAGCCAAAUAGCCUCCUUAACAGCUUCUGUAACUGCCAUAUAUUCUGCCUCUGUAGUAGACACAGCUACUGUAGACUGUAAGGUAGACUUCCAACUUAUUGGGGCUUUCGCAAGAGUAAACAGAUACCCCGUAGUUGAACGACGUUUAUCUAAAUCACCAGCAAAGUCGGAAUCAACAUAUCCAACUACAAACUGACCAAGUGCUUCAUCCUGUUCAAAAAUUAAACCAACAUCUACGGUUUUUCGAAGAUACCGUAGAAUCCAUUUCACAGCUUGCCAAUGUCCUUUUCCAGGAUCAUGCAUAUACCUGCUCACAACUCCAACAGCUUGUGAAAUGUCAGGCCUCGUACACACCAUCGCAUACAUCAAACUCCCAACUGCAUUAGCAUAUGGGACUUUCGCCAUAUAUUCUCUUUCAUCUUCAGUCUUCGGAGAUAAUUGAGCACUAAGUUUCAAAUGAGAAGCAAGUGGGGUACUUACAUGUUUUGUGUUUUCAUUUACACCAAAACAUUGUAAUACCUUUUUCAGAUAUUGCUUCUGAUUUAAACAGAGCUUGCCUCUCGGUCUAUCUCUACUUAUCUCCAUGCCGAGAAUCUUCUUGGCCUCACCUAGAUCUUUCAUCUCGAACUCUUGAUUCAACUGAGCCUUCAGCUUAUCUAUCUCAUUUUGGCUCUUCGAAGCGAUUAACAUAUCAUCAACAUACAAGAGUAGAUAAAUGAAAGAUCCGUCAUGCAGCUUCUGCAAAUAUACACAAUUGUCAUAUUUGCUUCUUGUGUACUUCUGCCUUCUCAUAAAGCUAUCAAAUCGCUUGUACCACUGCCUCGGGGAUUGCUUCAAUCCAUAUAGCGAUUUGUUAAGCUUACAAACCCAAUUUCUACCACCAGCAUCUGUGUAUCCUUCUGGCUGAGUCAUAUAGAUCUCCUCUUCUAACUCACCAUGCAAGAAAGCCGUCUUAACAUCAAGUUGAGCUAGCUCCAAAUUCAACUGUGCUACCAAGGCCAACAAAAUUCUAAUGGAGGAAUGCUUCACAACAGGGGAAAAUACAUCAUUGUAGUCAAUUCCCUCCUUCUGAGCGUAGCCUUUAGCUACCAAUCUUGCCUUGUAGCGAAUAUCCUUCUUGCUAGGAGAUCCAUCUUUCUUUGCGAAUACCCACUUGCAUCCGAUUGCCCUUUUACCUUUCGGUAAUUGCGCCAACUCCCAAGUAUUAUUCUUCCGGAGAGACUGCAUUUCUUCAUCCAUGGCGCUUUUCCAUUUAUCACUUUCUAAGCUUUGCAUUGCUUCUUGAUAAGUGAUAGGAAUAUCAUCAACAACGGGAAGGGCGUAGGCCACUAUAUCAGUAAAUCGAGCAGGUUUACGAAUUUCUCUCCGUGGCCUUGCAACUGCAACUGGUUCUGGUGUACUUAGUGGUUCUUGGGUCAGAACCUCUUCAACCUCUAAUUCCUCCAUUGUGACUGGAGAAUUAGACUUAUUAACUGGGCAAAUCCCCAUCUGCUCAAACUCCACCUGUUUUGGAGUACACUCCACCUGCUGUGGAGUAUUGCUCGUCUGAAUAUCUUUAUCUGCUACCUUUUUCAAUGUGGUAGAUUCAUCAAAGGUAACAUCUCUGCUACAGAUCAUUUUCUUUGUGCUUAAGCACCAAAGACGAAAUCCCUUCACUCCAGAAGUGAUUCCCAUAAAGAGAGCUUUCUUUGCCCUCGGAUCUAACUUUGACUCCUUCACAUGGUAAUAUGCAGUGGUUCCAAACACAUGUAAGGAAUCAUAAUCUGUAGCCGGUUUUCCAGACCAUACCUCCAUAGGAGUUUUUCUUUCUAAUGCAGAUGAUGGCAAACGAUUAACAAGAUGGCCAGCGUAUGUCACAGCCUCAGCCCAAAAUUGCUUGCCCAACCCAGCAUUGGACAACAUACAUCGAACUUUCUCCAGCAAUGUUCGAUUCAUACGCUCUGCCAAUCCAUUCUGCUGUGGUGUAUCCCUAACUGUGAAGUGUCGAACAAUACCAUACUCUUGGCACACAUCGAAGAACGGAUCACUUUUAUAUUCCCCUCCAUUGUCCGUCCUAAGCCGCUUGAUUUUCUUGCCAGUCUGGUUUUCGAUCAUAGUUUUCCAUUUAAGAAAAACUCCAAGCACUUCAUCUUUAGUUUUCAUGGUAUACACCCAAACUCUUCUGGAAAAGUCAUCAACAAAAGUAACAAAGUAGUGUUUUCCUCCCAAUGAAGGUGUUUUGGAAGGCCCCCACACAUCUGAGUGAAUAUAUUCCAAAAUACCUUUUGUAUUAUGGAUAGCAGUGCCGAAUUUCACUCUCUUUUGCUUUCCCAGAACACAGUGCUCACAAAAUUUUAAUUUGCAAGCCUUUACACCUUUCAACAAUCCUUGCUUUGCCAGAAUUUGCAAGGAUUUUUCGCUGGCAUGUCCCAACUUCAUAUGCCACAACUGCAUUGAGUCCAAGUCUUUGUUACCGGAAGCUGCAGCGACUGCUCCAAUAACUGUACUACCUUGGUAGUAAUACAAGUUAUUUUUCCUGAUGCCCUUCAAUAUCACAAGUGCGCCAGAUGUCACUUUCAAAACCCCAUCUCUCAUAGUAACAACUGAACCAUUGGAUUCCAAGGCUCCCAAUGAGAUGAGAUUUUUCUUCAAACUGGGCACGUACCGAACAUCAGUCAGAACUCUGGUUGAUCCAUCUUUAUUCUUUAAUUGGAUUGAACCUAUCCCAACAGUUUUACAGGCAUUGUCAUUGCCCAUAUAAACAACUCCUCCAUUUAGUUCUACUAAAUCAGAGAACCACUCCCGGUUAGGGGACAUAUGAUAGGUACAACCCGAAUCCAAUAUCCACUCAUCUGAAUGGAACGACGAUGAUGAUGCAACCAGUGAUAGUUCAGAGUCACUAGUAUCAUGCUUAGCAACACAAGCAUCUACAGCAGCUUUUCCCUUAUUCUUCAGCUUUGGACAAUUUUUCUUCCAGUGGCCUUUCUCAUGACAAAAAGCACAUUCAUCUUUCCCGAGUCUGGACUUUGACUUUGAUCUCCCCUUUUGAGUUUUCUUCCGAGUGUAUGAACGACCUCGGACUAGUAAAGCUUCUGUAUCUCUGAUUGAGUUUUUCUGUUUGUCCUUCUUUCUCUGUUCAUAACUGUAUAAGGCCGCACAGACUUCGCUCAGAGAUAUAUCACUCCUGCCAUGAAGUAGAGUAGUUUCUAGGAACUCAAACUCCUCAGGAAGUGACCCCAACAGCAUCAAAGCCAAAUCUUCAUCUUUGAAUGUCUCAUCCAUAUUCAGCAAAUCAGUGACUAACUGAUUAAAUUUGGUGAUGUGAUCAUUCAUUGUGGUACUUGGGACGUAUGUGAAGCGAAACAGUCUUUUCUUCAAGUGGAGCUUAUUUUGACUGUUUUUCUUCAAAAAUUUUUCUUCAAGUGCCACCCACAACUUAUUUGCAGAAGUCUCCUUUGAAAAAGCAUACCUCUGCUCUCGAGAAAGGCAUGAUCGAAUUGUGCCACAUGCCAACCGAUUGAUCGCCUUCCAAUCUUUCUCCUGUACAUCAUCUGGUUUCUCUUCAUCAAUGGCAAUGUCUAGACCCUGCUGAAAAAGGGCAUCUAGAACCUCACUUUGCCACAUACCAAAAUGGCCCGUGCCAUCAAAGAUCUCCACGGCCAAUCUUGCAUUUGCAAUUGUCGGUCUUGUCCACAUGGACGAUGUUGAAGCUCCUACACCGACCGUUUUCUCCAUAAUCUUUCAAUAUACCUAAGGAAAUCUUUUCUGAUGUGGAAGAUCAGUUCAAACUGCAACCACAGAGCAUACUACGAUUAACCUUCGGCUCUUGAUACCACUUGUUGUUCCAAUAGGGUCGGAAGCGUGUAAAUUAUUGUACUAAAAAAUCACACAAAGUUCAAUUCCCAGGGAAGAGAGGUGGAUCACAAGGAUCUCUUAAAUACCAAGUCUUUCCUUAGACAGAAUAUCCCUUCUAUAGUAAUUUAAUAGCACAAUUAAAUACUACUAUUAUACCCUCAAAUAUUGAAAGAAAAAUAGGACAAGAAAGAACACAAGAGUUUUAACGAGGUUCGGUAAAUUAUACCUACGUCCUCGGGCACUAACACCAGAUGAUAACUUUACUAUCUUCAAAGUAUUACAAACAAAUAGAAUUCCUUAAGAAUUCUCAAAUGGGAGAAGAGAGAAAACUAAGAGAGAAAGAUUGGUUGGGAUGAAUUGAAAUGAGAAAUGAGAAGGCCUAUUUAUAGUUGAGGUUUAAGGACCAAACAAUAAAUAGCCCAUUAUCUCAAGGACCAAAAAAAAAUUAUCCCAUGCCACUUUUCCAAAGUCAAAUUUAGGGUGCUAAACUUGCACCACUUUGUAUUGUUUGCCAUUAAUGUUGUCUCCCAUUAAUGUUAACAGUGAUUGAGUCUUGCUCUGUUUCCGUUUGGAUGAAGAGAAUAUUACUUUGCUUGUUGCCUUUUUUCAAAAUCAAUUACCAUUACAAAAUUUUGUUUCAAAUAAAUGUCCUUAAAUUGACUAGCUCAAUGUCAUCAAGUACAUAAUUUGCCAUUAAUCUACUCAUAGCUCUCUGCGAUACAAUGCUACACAAUGCCAUUAGGUCGUCUUUCUGGACAGGUUCUUCAUCCCAGAACCCCAACAUUUAAGGAUUACCGUCCCUGUGGAUGGAUCUGGCUUUAUCACAAAUUGAACAUCUAGAAAAUCUCUGAUUUCUCUCAAUGUUUCUAUUCCAUAUGGAGAGAGCUUUCCCACUCGAACCUUUGAAACAUCCUUCGGACAAAGAGCGCAAAGAAGGAAUAACAAACCCUACAAAACCAAACAAUAGGCUAACACUGUUAAGUAACAAAAGACACUUACCCAAACUUCAAAUUCUAGCUUUACAACCGUCCCAAUAUAAUGCAUUACAAUGAGUAGCUUAUGAGUUUCAUCUUUGUUUAGAAUAUAAGGAGGUUAUUCCCAUAUUAUAAGAUUUUCAGUUUCAGAUGGGCUUUGAUAAGAUGCCUCAUGGUAAAGCUUAGAUGUCAAACCAAGGGAAAAAACUAGUCCUUUCAUAUGAUAAGUCUUACCACCCUAAAAAAUAAUUAAAUUAUCGAACACAUUUUAUUUUCCUGGCCAGUUAAAAUACUUCUAUUUCCUGAAAGAAGAAAAAAGGAAAAGAUAAAAGAAACAAAGAACAUCAAAAGCAGAACCACCAGAACUCAACCAAUAUGAAGUAUGAAUACAUGGCCAUAUUGUUAUUACAGUGGAAGAUCAAUACAAGGAAUAAAUAAAUAAAUAAAGGAAUGGCAUGCAAAAAUGCAACCUAAAGGGCUAAACCAGUAGCAAGAUCAGAAAAUUAGUAGAGGAAGAAAUUUUUCAAUAGAUUCAAAGGCAGUUUGUGGAAUUAAUGCAAAUACUGAUCAUCUUCUUUGCUUCAUACUUAAAAGCCUUCACUUUACCCCAACAAAAAUUAAGAGUUUUACUGAGCAUAAUAUUCUGAACAACAGACCUCACAUUUAAUUUAAAAUUUAUCCUAGUCACAGCAUAUAAGUACAAUAUUAUAUGAUGUGGACAAAGAGAAAUCAAAAUAAAGAAACAGAAUUAGAAUAAUGAAAUCGGACAAGUGGCAGGCCAAUGGAAUAGAGUACAUAGAAGUAAUACCUGGUGAGUUGAAUCCACCACUCCACCUUUCUCAAUCUCUUCAAGAAGAACAGAAGCCAGUUUCUCACCAACAUCAGCUGCAGGUAUCAACUCUUUUUUUCCCUCAUCUUCAAUAUCUUCUUCUUCAUCCCCUCGUGGAUAAGAAACUGUAGUAUCCGCAGAGAUGCAGCAGCCAGAAGUAGUUUCAGCAACUAGUGAAAUUCCAUAUCCAGGCGAGCUGCAUUUAGGGGGAAAAAGGAAUUUGAAAUUUCCUGGCUAUGAUAAAAAAUGAAAUUCCAAAAUAUAUAUAGUAACCGUACUUUCCAGCCUCUAAGCGUUUUCUAUAAUCACUAGCGAUGUAAACAUCAGGAAGCAAACGAUUAAAAAUUCCACGAGCCGCAUAUAUCAUCUCAUUUCCAAGCUGAAUGCUCACUCUGGUAGUGAAAGCUUCCCCUCUAAUUCUCUUAACCAUUCCUUCGUCAGUCCACAUGGUUGCCUGUAGCAGAAAGUGUUAGAAAUUCACAUAAAUUCACAUAAAAAAAUGAAGUAUGUUAGAUUAAAAAAACUCACUGUUAGGUGCUGAACAGUAGGAAUUGUCAAAUGAACUUCACCACCACCAUGAGGUGAGACUCCCCGACUCUUUAUUUCCAACUUUAAUCCUUCUGAAGGAACCCCAAAAUGCCUCAACAAGGGAAAGGUGGUGGAACGGAAAGUAUCAACAGAUGGAUCCUUAGAAUCAUUUGUAAUCCCUGAAAAUAAUCAAAAGUAGUCUAAUCAUAUCCAUCAACUCCCCUAUUCUAUAAAUUUGACCUAUGACACUUGUUUUCCCACAUCAACGUUGAAACAUUGUUGCAACACAUACAAUUCUAUAAGACCCCCGAAUGCAAUAGUUUUCACAUAUUAACAUUAACUCAACCUCCUGAUUGUAAGUUAUUAUACAUUGCACAAUAAUAAGUGACUUUCUAGCCAUGCUAACAUAUUACAAAAGAGCAUCUUAACUGACAAUCAAAGGAAUGUAACCACAGAAGAAGUAAAAAAAUUGGAAUUCUAGCAAAAAAAGGGAUUACCUUUGAGGAUUAUAACUAAGGUUUUCCUAGCAAAUAAACCAAGCAAGAUCAAAGGCUCCAAAAAAUACCCAAUUGCUCUACUAAAACCACAAUCAUGCACCAGAUGACUCCCUCCAACUAUAAUCCCAGGCUUGUACUUCAAUUUUGUACCUAUCAAAGAGCACCAACAACUUUUAAGUAACUUGUUAUUAAGUUCAAUUCAAAAGCUUAUAGCUCAGAGGGAAAAAAAAGGGGUAUUACCAGUUUCAUUGAUUUCAAUUAGGCAGUCAUCGGUGAGCUUUUCAAAGAGACGAAGGAGGGAAAUCUCGUGCGGGCGGAGACCAGGUAAGGUGUCGCCGGCGUGGAUGUCUUCUAUGAGAACCGGAGUUGAUUUUAAUGUUGCUAAGAGUAGCCUUUGCCUCAUGUUUUGACUUCCCUUUAGUCUCUUAUACGUUAUUUUCCCCAUUCUUUCCCCUUCUUCUUCAAGUUACCCUGUAGAGAGGGAGACAAGACGGAGGCUUGAGUUGAAACGAAAAGAUUUUGCCCGGAAACAAGAGAUUGAAGGGUUCUGUUCCUAAUUAAUACUUUCACUAAAACCCUAAAGCUAAAAUCUUGACUGAUUGGGUAAAAAAAGUGGGUCCGGGUUAGAUAUUUUAACUUUUUAUAAUACCUGAAUCCCGAUUAGCAUAAGAGGAUAUUUUUAGCCCAAUCAGCGACGUUUUUAAUGAUUUUAAAGUAAGGUAAAAUUAAAUAUUUAAAUAGCUCUUUUAGGUAUUAAAAUAAAAAUAGAUGGUUUUUUAAUUUAAAAUAUUAUAAUUUAUUUAAAAUUUACAUUACAAUACCUUAUUUAUGUUUAUAUUAUUAAUUUUUUUUGCAUAUGUUUGCACUUGUAUUUUUUUCAUUCAAAGUACCACAAAUUUGUAUAUAUUACAUGUUAAUAAUUCAUUUUAAGUAAAUUUUUACGUGGUUGUAUACUUGUCUUGUGCUUUUGUUAUUCUUUCAUUUAUCAUAUUUUGCUUAAUUUUUCAUAAUGAUUCAAUUUAUAAAAUAAUUUAUGGUUUGGUGUCUUAUUUUAUUUUUUUUAUUUUAUAUAAUUAAUCAUAGUGAUUCAAUUUAAAGAAAAAAGAUAAUCAUAUUUAUUAACAUUUGACCAUGUAGUAAGCUAGAUAAACUCCUUGGACUUUGAGAUCACAGUUAAGGGUAUAAAAAUUCAUAGCUCUAGUAAAAAAAAAAAAAAUCUCUCUCUCUCUUACUACACCAUUCUACCUCAACCUCCUCUCCUAAUUCUCUUCUAAUUUCUCUAAAAGUUGUCUCCGAUAGCUUUUUGCUUUGCUCCAAGUGAGGUAAAGCACCUAUCCUCAUCUCCUCCUCCUCCCAGCUUGAUUAACCCAUCAAGAAUAUUGUAUUCAUAUUAUAUUUUUAUAUGUCUAAAUUGUUUUAAAUAUUUAUGUGUUAGUAACUAAUUUUAUGUUGAUUUUGAUACAAUCUGUGUAUCUAUGUUACAUUCAUGUAAUUUUUUGUACAAUUUCAUAUUUCAUUAUAUAUUUUCCAUAUUAUUUUUGAUUCAAUUUUAACUCUAAAUCCAUUUACUUGAAAAUCAAAUCAUUACCUUAUAUGUAGGUAUUAAUAUACUAUUUGGUACUUAAAUGAUGUUAAACAUUAAAGAUUUAAUGUGAUUAUGAUUAUAUAUUGAUUGAAUAAAAUGGUUGGUUAAUGAUUUGAAUAGAGUUAUUAGUAAUUAAUUUUUUGAAAAAUAUUUAAAUACGAUUAACAUUUCAUAGAAUACAAAUAGUGGUGAUAGGUAUAAUGCGGGUUAUGCUUUGCACCCAAUAGUAUCAUUUGCAUGUGAGUGAUUACCAUUAGCGCUUUGUGUCAUGUAGCAUCAAAGAGUUUGGUUGAAACUGUUAUCUAUGAGUUUAUUAAAAUAUAAAAUAGUAAAGAGAAUAGAAAAAGAAUUGUAAUAAAAGACUUAAAUCGUACUAAAUAUGUCGAAUGGAUUAUAUCCAUAAAAUGAUAUUAGUAUUAUAAUAAAAAUAGUAAAACGACCACAGCGCAAGAGAAGUGGAUACCCGACCGUAGGGAAAAGAGAUAUAUUUGUCGUAUUGUAAUUCAUGACUAAUAUGGCUAUGAAACAUAGUUAAUGUCUUAAGCUAAAGGUCCUAAGAAUGUGAGAUGUUUAUAAUUUACUAAAGGUAAUAGUUGUUAGAUUUGCUAUAAUUAAAGCUAAGGAGUUAUAGAUUCUCAUGGCGUAGUAAAAAAUGGGAUAUAGUAAAUGAAUUAAAUAUGGUAAAAGCUUUAAAGCAUUAAAAUAUUCAAAAAAAAAAAAAUACUUAUAACAGUAUUAUAGAUUUGGUAAAUGAGGCUAAGCAUUAGUUGCAUACCGAUAAAAGCAUGAAACUUUAUCUAUAAGUAAGAAAAUAGUUAAUGGUAAGAAAAGAUAAUUAAUUAAGUUGAUAAACAAAAAGAAUUAAUGAUUUCCCUACUUUCAUAAAAUUUAGAUCCCUUAAACCAGUUCUUGAAGCUCUUUAGCUUUAUUUCUAACUUUUACGCAUACGGAAAUGUUAAGAAUUUUACUCGCUUAUUGUUUUCCUUACUUUUCUAGCUUCAUCCUUAUCAAGUUUGCUCCAUGCAUACCCUUUCAUGAUUGCUCCUUCUUUGAGCUACCAAAGAGGAUGAAGAACGGAAGAAAUUGAGACAAGGUUAGGAAGAAAAUCAUCCCGAGAGCUAUCUCUCAACUAUUUAUAACACUUCCCGUACUUCUUCCAACCUCAUGAGAGUCGUGCAUCACUAAUUAUUAUGCCUCCUACUAAGGAAUCGGUUGGUUCCACCCUAACCAAACCAAAAUUGAAUCUCAACCAUGUCCAAUUCAGUUUUCGGCUUUCUUUUUUCUUCCAAUAUAGGUUGCUAGCUUGCAGUUUCUUUCAAUUUAUUCCCUUGUUCGUUCUUAAUUUCGAGUUAUUAGAAAUUCAGGUGUUACACUAGGAAUACAAAGUCUUGCAUUUGUUUUUCUGUGUUGCGACUCAAGAAGCUUGUGUCACACUCGAGUAUCGUUCCUAAGGCUUUUGGGCUUAAAAAUACACAUCCUGCACAUUCAAAUAAGCUAAUUAAAUCUUCCAAUAUAAAAAUCUAUAUGUAAAUGCACUUAAUGCCUAAUGGUUUACGUACGACUUUUGGUUAAAUAUUAUAUCUUAUAAUGGAAUAAACGUACCUUGAAAUGGUAAGAAAUGUUGUAAAUAUAUAUGAAAUUGGUGAAAUAGGUAAUUGUGUAAAUGAUUUAAUUGAUUUGCAUCAGGUAAAUGGUAUGAAAUGUUAAGGUAUUGGCCUAGUAUUGUAUAAUGUAACAGCCCGUUUUUGGGUCAAAUCGGAACAGUGGUUUUGGAACCACAAAUUUGAAAUAGAAAUAUUUAUUUUAUUAUUUCUUUAAGGUCUACAGCAUGAUAGAAUAAUUGUGUGAAAAUUUUAUUAAGAAAUUUUAUCGAUUGAGUGCUCAAUUUGACUAGAAUGACUAAAUUGCAAUAGGUGCAAAAUUUGAGUUCUAUAAGUUAAAGGUAGUAAAUUGUUAUGAAAUUUUAAUUAGAGGUCCUUAAAUGGUAAUUAGACCAUUAGGGUGAACAAAAAUGGGCAUGAAGUAAGUGAGUUUACAAAGUUUAAGUGAAGGGUAAUUUGGUAAUUUGGUAAAUAAAGAAAAAUUAACUAAUUAAAAUAUGUCCAUAUUCUUUAAUUUAGUUCCCUUAACCGAAUUUUUGAGGAGAAGACAUAACUAGAGUUUGGCCAACUUUCAAGCUCGAUUGUAAGUCUGUUCUUGUCAUGUUUUUAAUGAUUUCUAUAUUUUUGAUAUCGUGAUAACUUGAUCUAACUAUUUCAAGGACUAAUUUGAAAGAAAGUUAAAGCUUAAAAUUUUACCCAUGUUGGAUGUGCUUGUAUUUUGAUGUUUUAUGAUAGAAAAUGCAUGUUUGUUGUUAGAUAAACAAUAUUUGUAAAGUGAUUUUCGAUAAAAAAGACGAAUAAGGACUUAUUUGUAAAAGGUUAUAAAAUGUGUAGAAAAGUAUGAAUAGAUGAAAAAUGUGGGUUGUUAUGUGUACAAGUAAUAUUCGGCUAGGCUUGGGUUGUAAUGAAAUUGAAUGAAAUUCAUUUUACGAGCCUAGAGACUAAAUUGUAAAAUGUUGAAAUGUUAAGGGUAAAAAUGUAAUUUUUGCCAUAAUGUGUUUUUGGGCUACAUUGAAUAAUGUGAUCAUUAAAUAAGUUAAAUUUGACAUUAUAGAUUAAGAAAAAUAAAGUUUGGAUUAGGGUGAUCGUAGGCCAGGCCGAGCCUAGACAAAAUUUUAGGCCCGUUUUCUAGGCUCGGGCCCGGUCUCGGCCUGGCCCGAAAUAUAGGACUGAAAAUUUUUCCAAGCCAGGCCCAAAAAAAUUUCUAAGCUCGAGCCCAGCCUAGCCCAUAUUAAUUUUUUAGCUUAUUUCAUUAAAUAAAAAAUUUAAAAUAUAAUAAAUCAAAUAUUAAAACAAGAAACAAAUAAAAAAUGAGAUUAAAAUAAUUCUUAAAACAAUACACAAAUUGAAAAUAUAAUAAAAAGUGGUUAUAUUAAAAUUGAAAAUAAAAAAGUAAAUAUGAUUAAAAAAAUUAUUUAGUAUAUAAUUUGGGCCGGGCCUGAGCCAAAAAAGUUUUACCCAAGGCCCGGCCCGUUUUCUAAACGAGUCUCUUUUUUUGCCUAAACCCAUAUUUCGGGCCUAUAUUUUUACCUAAACCCUCAUAUUUUUCAUGCGGGCCUUCGGGCCAGGCCAGGUAUCCCAAACCAUGAUCACUUCUAGUUCGGAUCUAGAUCGAGGGAAAAAUAAAAUAAUUGACGAAUAGAUCCCUUUUGUCGUUUUUGCAUUCGAGGUAAGUUCAUAUGUAAAUAAACCUUAUUAUAAUUGUAUUUUAAAUGCCUUAAUUAUGCAUGAAUUGUGUAAAUGACUCUACGGACACGUUCGAAGACGUUUUGACAAGCGAGAAAUCUCAAUCGAACCUUAGGAAUAGAUUAGGAUACAAGUGACUUGUCACUAGAGUAUUAUGUUAUGUGAUCUAGGUGCUGGUCCUGUACAUCCUACCGGUGGCUGAGUAUAUCGGCAUAUGUUACGGUUACUUGACAGCUUGUGUGAGCAGCACCGCGUAGCUACGCCUUGACUGACAACUUGUGUGAGCAGGUCCAUUGAUAGCUCGAGAGCGAGCAUAUAUGUUAUGAGAUAGAGGUAGCAAUGGCUACAUAUGUGACACCUUGUGUGCAAGUUUUCCCUUGUAUCCGAUAUUAUUAUUCCGAGUGGUUCAUUAGGUAUGUCAACGAUGAUAAUAAGUAUGAAAUUCUUCCGAGAUGGUACAGGUAUGUACAUAAAGCAUAUGAUUAUUAAGUUCGUGAAAUGAUGAUUUCAAGGUAAGUUUGUGAUGGAAUGGAUUAUGGUUAUGAGAUUGUGGUAAAUUACAUCAUCUUAUAUUAUAUUACUUGAAUGUUUAAUGUAUGGUAAGAUUUGCUUAUUACUUUCAUACAAGCUUACUAAGCUAUAUAGCUUAUUCGAUUUUAUUUUUCCAUGUUUUAUAGUGUUACCAAGCUAGCUCGAAUUGGAAUCGUCGGAGUUCGCAUCACACUAUCAAACUGUCUUUUUAGGGUAUCGAUGGUUUUAAACAUUUUGAGUAUAUAGCAUGUAUAAUGACUUGGUCAUUUUUAUAUUUGUGUCAUUAUGAAUUUGGCCAAAUGCGUUGGCUUAUAUUUGUUUAAGGUGAUUUGGUAUUUAGCCAUGUAAUUAGCUUAUUUUGGCUAAAAUGGUUGUAAGCCUAUUUAUAUAAGUAUAUGUGUCAAUGCCUUUUGUUUAUGUGUUUUGUAAUGGUUCGCUAUAUGCUUAUUUAUGGUUAUGUAGCUUUGUUGUUAAAUGAUUGAGUUGGUUCAUUGGUAUGCUAGAAGAUUUAUAUGAUACAAUGCAUAUUAAUGGUAGCCAUAUUGAAGCUUGUAGAAUGUGAGUUUGGUAUGAUUUGGUUUGGUAAAAUAUGAUGUUGUAAGUAUGUUAAGUAUUGAAAUGACAUGUUUUAGCCUUGAUUGAGGAUGUUUUGGGUUGUCUAAGUAUGCUAUGAUUUGUGUCAUUUGAUGUCGAGUAUGUGUGUGCAAAUAAGGGUGGCAAAUUGGCGUGGUAGAUAGCCUUUAUCUUUGUCCACACGGUGUGUGUCUAGACCGUGUGUGACACACGGCCUACCCCAUGGGCAUGUGUUUCGACCAUGUGUCCCCCGCACCUUAAUUUUGAGAAACAAAAUGCUUAGAAUUGAGCACACAGGUGUGUGUCUUAGCCGUGUGAGAGACACAGCCCUGGACAUGGACGUGUGUUCUGGCAGUGUGAAGUCUGCACCUAUUUUAUGAAAAUUAAUUUAUCACACGGCCUAGCACACAGGCGUGUGAGUUGGCCGUGUGACUUCAAUUUGUUCAUGCUUUGCAAAACAGAAAGUUACACGGGUUAGGGAUAAGGGUAUGUGUGACCACACGGCCUGCCCACACGAGCGUGUCCCAAACCACACUGGUGUGUGAUCCCUGUACAUGACAAAAGUUUUCUAAGUUUUGUAAAAAUUUCCAAGGUUCUUGAUUUAUUCCCAAACCACUUCUAAAGCAUAAUUUGGGCCUCGUAAGCUCAUAUUAGGGACUUUGUGACUGAAUGUAAAUGGUUUUAAAUUUGGUUGAAACUUAUGACUCAGAAUUGUAUGAUUGUUUGCGAUGUAAGUUCGGUAAUGCCUCGUAACCCUGUUCUGACGUCGAAUACGGGUGAGGGGUGUUACAUUUAGUGGUAUCAGAGCUACGGUUUAAUCGAUUCUCGGACUAACGUAGCGUGUGUGAGAGUCUAACUAUACAUGCCAUAUAUAAAUUGUGAUAAUGUGACGACUACUAACAAUUUAAAAUUGUUCUUUCAUAUAGUAAAUAACUCUCGACCGAGAUGUAGUUGAUGAUGAUGAAAGUAAUGCGUCGGCUCCCGCCUAAGGGGCAGCGCCAUCUGAAAGUAUACCAGUAACGGUUAAUCAAGGAGGAAAGGUUAGAGAAGCUUUCUUCCAAAGGAUGAAUGAGUGGUUUGCCGAGUUUGUUUGAAUAAAUCCGACUGCCCAACAUCCUCCACCCCCACCUAACCCUCAACCGGUUCCCGUAGCUCCUCAAGGUGUGGAAUUAUUAAGAUUGAACAAGCCUCUAGUUUAUAAGAUUAAAAAAUAAGGGGUUGAAGAAUUUAGAGCUAAUGUUGACGAUGAUCCCGAGAGAGCAGAGUUUUGGCUUGAGAACUCUAUCAGUGUAUUUGAUGAGCUUUCUUGCACACUAGACGAAUGCUUGAAAUGUGCUAUAUCACUUCUGAGGGACUCAACAUAUCAAUGGUGGAAUACUCUUGUAUCCGUGGUACCGAGAGAAAGAGUUACUUGGGAAUUCUUUUAAGAUGAGUUCAGAAAGAAAUAUAUCAGUCAAUGGUGAUCAGAAACGCAAAAAGUUUUUAGAGCUGAAACAAACCUGUAUGUCUGUGACUGAAUAUGAGCGAGAGUUUGUUAUGCUCAGUAAGUAUGCUCGGGAAUGUAUUUCUAACGAGGCCAUCAUGUGAAAAAGAUUCGAAGAUGGGUUGAACGAGGAUAUCAAAUUGCUAGUAGGGAUUCUAGAGUUGAAAGAAUUCGUGGUGCUAGUUGACAGAGUUUGCAAAGUCGAAUAGUUGGGUAAGGAGAAGAGAAAAGCCGAAAUUGAGGCUAGAGAUUUGAGAAAAAGAUCGAUGAAUAAUUCAUUUCAGUUUUCGUCAAAGAAAUCGAGGGAUUUGUAUACUCGUUCGAAUGUUUCAGCUGGGUAUCCCAACAGAGAUCGCGGGAAGCAAUAUUCGGGUUCGAAGGCUCAAACUACGUCGAUAGCUAGCGUUGGUAAUGCUAGGUUUAAUAGUCCUGAAUGUCAACACUGUGGUAAACAACAUCUCGGUGAAUGUAGAAUGAAUAACCGGGCUUGCUUUAAAUGUGUCUCUCUAGAUCACUUCAUUCGAGAUUACCCUGAAAUGACUGAAAAUGAUAAUUUUCAGAAUGUAAGAUCAAGCAACACUGCCACUAGAGGGAGGCCACCAAGAAAUACGAGAAUGGGACCACUAGCAAAGGUGUAACGAAAGAUUCAACUGCGAGAUCAGAGGUUAGAGCACGUACUAGAGCCUACGCUAUUCGCGCUCACGAAGAUACGUCAUCCCCUAAUGUUAUCACUGGUAUAUUUUCUCUCUAUGAUACUAAUGUAAUUGUAUUGAAUGAUCCUGGAUUGACUUAUUCUUAUAUUUGAAUGAAUUUGGUAUCUAGAAAGAAUUUUCCUGUUGAGUCUACUGAGUAUGUGAUUAAAGUGUCGAACCCUUUAGGCAAAUAUGUUUUAGUUGAUAAAGUUUGCAAGAGUUGUCCUUUAAUAAUUCGGGGCCACUGUUUUCUGGCUGACUUAAUGAUUUUACCGUUUGAUGAGUUCGAUGUAAUUCUUGGAAUGGAUUGGUUGACUUUACAUGAUGUCAUAGUGAAUUGUAGACGAAAGAUUAUUGAAUUGAAAUGUCAAGAUAAUGAAACUCUUCGGAUUGAAUCAGAUGAGUCGGGUGAGUUGCCUAUUGUGAUUUCGUCGAUGUCGGCUCAGAUGUAUGUAAAAAAAGGGUUGUCAAGCUUAUCUUGCGUAUGUACUGAAUACAAAAGUGUCUGAAUUGAAGAUCGAAUCUAUGCCGGUAGUUUGUGAAUACCCAGAUGUAUUUCCAGAAGAGUUACUUGGAUUACCACCAAUCGGAAAGGUCGAGUUUACUAUUAAUUUAGUACUAGGAGCUUUAUCGAUAUCGAUAGCUCUGUAUAGAAUGGCUCUGACCGAAUUGAAAGAAUUGAAGUCUCAGUUGCAAGAGUUGACAGAUAAGGGUUUUGCGAGACCGAGUUUUUCACCCUAGGAUGCACUGGUGCUAUUCGUCAAGAAGAAAGACAGAUCUAUGAUGCUUUGUAUUGAUUAUCGUCAGCUUAACAAGGUUACAAUAAAGAACAAGUAUAGUUUAUUGAGAAUUAAUGAUUUGUUUGACCAGUUGAAAGGGGUAAUAGUGUUCUCAAAGAUAGAUUUGAGAUUUGGUUAUUAUCAGCUGAGAGUUAAGGAUUCAGAUGUGCUGAAAAUUACGUUCAGAAUAAGGUACGAGCAUUAUGAAUUUCAUGUUAUGCCUUUUGGAUUAACAAAUGCUCCUGCAGUUUUUAUGGACUUGAUGAAUUAAAUCUUUAGACUGUAUUUAGAUCAGCCUGAACAUGCUAGGCAUUUAAGAAUUGUAUUGCAAACCUUGAGAGACAAACAAUUAUUUGCUAAAUUCAGCAAAAGUGAGUUUUGGCUCCGAGAAGUCGGAUUUCUGGGACACAUUGUUUCAGCGGAAGGUAUACGGGUUGAUCCAAGUAAGAUUUUGGCAGUUGUUGAUUGGAAACCAUCGAGAAAAGUAUCCAAAGUUUGAAGUUUUUGGACUUAGCCGGUUAUUAUUGACGUUUCAUUAAGGGAUUUUCGAUGAUUGCUACACCUAUGACUAGAUUAUUACAAAAGGAUGUGAAAUUCGAGUGGUCUGAGAAAUAUUAACAGAGUUUUGAUCUGUUGAAAGCGUUGUUGACUGAGGUACCAGUGUUAUUGCAACCUGAGUCGGGAAAAGAGUUUGUGAUUUUUAGCGACGCAUCAUUGAACAAUUUAGGUUGUGUGUUGAUACAAGAGGGUAAAAUGAUAGCUUAUGCCUUGAGACAGUUGAAACUGCAUGAAAAGAAUUAUCCGACUCAUGACUUGAAACUAGCCACUAUUGUGUUCGCUUUAAAAUUUUAGAGUGUCACAUCUUUACCGAUCACCAGAGUUUAAAGUAUUUAAUGACUUAGAAAGAUUUGAAUUUGCGACAAUGGAGAAGGCUCGAACUAUUGAAAGAUUAUGAGUUAGUGAUCAAUUAUCACCCGGGAAAGCGAACGUAGUCGUAGACACUUGAAGUAGAAAAUCCUUAUUUGCGUUGAAGGCGAUGAAUACGCGGUUAACCUUAUCUGAUGAUGGAUCAUUCUUGUCCGAGUUGAGAGCUAGACUGGUAUUUCUUUAGCAAAUUUGUGAAGCUCAGAAAGGUGAUAAUGAGUUGCAAGCUAAAAGAGUUCAAUGCAAAUCGAAUAGUGAUUCAGAAUAUCAGAUUGGAUCCGAUGAUUGUUUGAGGUUUUGAGGUAGGAUUUGUGUAUCGAGAGAUACUGAAUUGAUUCAGAAAAUUCUUUAUGAGACACAUAAUGGUUGUCUAUCUGUUCAUCCUGAAAGUACAAAGAUGUAUAAUGAUUUGAAGAAAUUGUAUUGGUGGUUAAGCAUGAAACGUGACACUUCAGAGUUUGUAACAAGAUGCUUGACUUGUCAACAAGUGAAAGCCAAACAUCAAGUGUCUUCGGGUUUACUUCAGCUUGUGAUAAUACCCGAGUGGUAGUGGGAUAGAUUUACGAUAGAUUUUGUAUCGGGGUUACCACUGACUCUGAAGAAGAAAGAUGUUGUUUGGGUCAUUGUUGAUAGAUUAACGAAAUCGGCUCAUUUUAUUCUAGUACGUACUGAUUAUUCACUUGACAAACUAGUUGAAUUGUACAUUACAGAGAUUGUUAGAUUGCACGGGUGCUUACUUCUAUUAUUUCGAAUAGAGAUCUGAGGUUUACAUCGAGAUUUUGGAAGAAAUUGUAAUAAGCGUUGGGUACGAAAUUGAAUUUUAGUACCGCAUUCCAUCCACAAACUGACGGUCAAUCUGAAAGAGUGAUUCAAAUUCUAGAAGAUAUGUUUCGCUGUUGUGUUUUAAAGUUCGAAGGCAGUUGGGAGAAAUAUCUACCGUUGGUCGAAUUUGCUUAUAACAAUAGUUUUCAAUCGAGUAUAAAAAUGGGACCAUAUGAAGCAUUGUACGGUAACUUUUGCUCGGUAAUCGUGAUAUUUUGAAAAUAAGUAACUUUUAUAAAACGCGCCCUAGAGCUAACCAAUUUAAUAACCCAAAAUAUUAAAAAUAAUAAAAAGAGUGGCCUUAUUACAACUUAAACCAGAAUAAAAAUAAUCAAAAUAAUAAAUGCGAAACUUAUUUUAAAGAAAACAGAAACUUAAUCUUCGUGGCCACUCUAAAUCCCGCCCAACUCCAAGUCCACCAACUAGGGCUCACCUGUAACGACCCGAACUUUAAGGUUAUUAGAAAAGUGUAUUUUCGGGUCACUGUUUCUGAAAAAUGGAUUAGAAAAUAUUUAUUAAAAAUAUUUAUGAAGUUAAUCGAGUGGUUAAUUAGAGUUUUAAUUAAGUGAAUUUAGCUUAAUUAAGAGUAAUUAGGAAAAAUGACUAAAUUAAAUAAAGGAUGAAAGUUGAAUUGUAGAUUAAAAGAAAAUAAAAAGGACUAAACAGGCAAUUAUGCCUAAUGUAUGAAUUUAGGCGGCAAAAGAUGGAAGUGUCUACGAUUUUCUUAUAUUAAUUAAUUAAUUUAUUAUUAUGGUUAUUAUUAUUUAAUUAAUAUUAAAUUAUUAUAUUAUAAAAUAAUUGAAAUAAAGACAAAUGUGUGAUGAUAAAAUUGUACAAGUGUAAUAUAUGUAUUUGAACACUUGGAAUAUAAUUGUAUAUUUACUUAAUUUUAGAAUAAAAGAUAUUUAUUAAUUAAAUAAUUAAAUAAUGAGAUUUUUGUUUGAUAAAUAAAUUAAAUAAUGACAAUUGUAAUGAAUUUAUUGGUACAAAUGUGAAAUAUAAGUGUGUACAAUUGUAAUAUUAGUAUUUAAUAUUAAAUAAGAUAUUUAUUAAUUAAAUAAUUAUAUUAUGAGAUUUUUAUGUAAUAAAUAUAUUAAAUUAUGACAAAUGUAUGGUAAAAUUUGUGACAUGUGUAAUAAUAAAAAAAAUGCAUACAAGUGUUAAAUAAAUAUUUGUUAUUAAAUAGAUUUUUAAAUAUAAAUAUUUUAUUUUUAUUAUUAUAUUAUAUAUAUAGUAAAUAAAUAAAGAAAAAGAGAAAGGAAACAAAGAAAAGAAACAGAAUAGGCAAACGAAAAGCAGUGGAAGGAAAGAAAGAAAGGAGAAAGAAAAGAAAAAGGGAGAAUUAGGGUUUGAAGGUUUGGAAGUUUAAUAGGUAAGUUAAUUUAGCUCUUUUUACUUAAUUUUGAUGUUUUAAAAGCUUUAGAACAAAGUUUUGAUGAAAUUAAAUUAAUAUUUUGAAAGUUAUUAGAAUUCUAAAUAUUGUUCAUGUUGAAUAAAAAAUGAAUUAGGGGUUAGAUUGAUAGGAAUUCAAGUUAGAAAUGAAAUAAGGAUUGAAUUGUAAAGUAAUUCAUAAGUUUUAUGUUGAAGGGACUAAAUUGAUGAAAUUUUCGAAAUUAGGAAAAUAUGCUGAAAAUUUAAUAGUUAAGUAUGAGUUUGGACAAAAUUUGAAUAGAAAUGAAGUAUGAAUUGAGAUAGAAAAAGUAAGUGAAUUUAGUUAAGAUUAAAUUGAAAUUAAAGUAGAAAUUGAAUCAAAAUUGUAUUAAUUAGAUAUAAAUUAGUAGAGAAUUAACGAAUAUGAAUUGUUUUAAUUCCCAUAGCUAAUGUUGUCUCGGGAAAUCUCGGCUAAGCAAGGAAAAAUGACAAAGACAACGGGAGUUAGCUCGAGAAAAUACAGUUUGUAUUUCUAUAAUCCGAACUCAGUCAUUAUUUGUUAUAUUUAUAUACAUAUGACAAUUGUUAGUGUUAGAAUUAUGAUAUUUUACAAUUGAAAUGGAUUGAUUUUGGUAUGUGAUGAAUUUAUCAAAUUUAUAUUGAUUGAAAUAAUUUUGAUUGAAUUUAUAUUGAUUGAAAUAUAAUAUAUAUAUGAUUUAUGUAAAAAUUUGAAUAUUGAAUGAAUGUUAUAUUGAAAAAAAUUAUAUUGAUUGGAAAUAUGAGGGAAUUGAUAUGAAUAUAUGUGAUUAUUAGAAUGGUAUAUUGAUGAAAGACUUAUUAAAUUAAGAAAGUGAAUCAAAUACCCUAUUAACAGUAUCGGACCAGAUUGGAUACAAAUGGCAUGCCAUUGGAUUUGUGAUGUGAUGGGGAGAUUUGUAGUUCGGCCGAGAAGAUGUUUUUGUUAUUAUAUACUUCGGUUUAUCCGAAGAGGCAUUUAAUUCCUUAUUGGUGUGUUUGGGAGGGUAUGAUAUACUGGUGUGUUAUGGAGGAUUUAUAAUAUUCCGGGUGUGUUUGGGUUGGAUAUUCUGGUGUGUUUGGGAGGAAUCCGCGUAUCUAUCAGAGUCCGAGUCUUGUUAAUAGGGGUAAAUAAGUGAAAAGAUAAAUCGAGUGAAUUUUGAUUGAUUGAGCUAUUAGAAUGAAACGAGAAAUUGAAUUGAGAAUUGAAAUUGAGAUAUGAGAUUGAAAACAUACACUUGAAAUUGAGAUAUGAGAUUGAAAACAUACACCAAAAGGUUCAUGAAAUGAGUGAAGUUCAAAUGGAUGAUGAUUGAUGUUAGAAUGAAUUAAAAUGGUAUAUUGUUAAGAAGUAAAGUGUGAAUACAAAUGAAUUGUGAAUAUAUUGUAAAGAAUUUAUACGGUAACCAAAUGAAAAGAAUUGAGCAAAUAUAUUGUUGUGUUUGUUAUAUGGCUUGUAUAGAAUUUUUAUGGUAAGUAAAUGAAACUUAUCUAUAAAAUAAAUAAAUGAAUAGUUAUAUUUGUUAUUGUGAUUUUAAGUUUAAUUGUUAUAUUAUCAAGUGUUCGGAUUAUAGAAAUACCACUGAGUAUACCGUACUCAGCGUACGGUUUGUUUCCGUGCGCAGGUUAAGUAAAGAUAGAACGUUGAAUCAGCAUCCCAGGCCGAUCUCGAAUUCAAUGAGGUAAAGUGUGUUAAUUAUGGGUAAUGGCAUGUACCUAGGAUGUCUUAUGUGUGUGUCAUUUUGAAAUUGUAAAUGUAAGGAUGAAAUAAAUAAAUUUAGGUUUGGUUAUGGUAUAAAAUAGGAUUUGACUAAUUUGGUAUGAAUUUGAAUUUUUGUGAGACAAUGUCAGAUUGAUUUUGGAAUUCCCUAUUAUGAAUUGAGAAAAUCAUUAAAAAUUGUAUAAAAAUAAUUAUGAGCUAUAAUUUAUAUGCUUAGAAUAUUUAAUGAGUCUAUUUUCAAGAGAAAUAAACGGGAACAUCAUCCGAGUCCUAUGCUAUGAGAUAAUUAAAUUUUAGUAAAAAAGGGUCGAAGUUGUCAAAUAGCAGACCAGGGGUAACUUUGAGGAAUAAACUGUACUAAUUGGCUAUAUUAAAAAUUCUUAAAAUUUUAUGGUAGAAAGGUAUAUGAGUCUAGUUUUAAGGAAAAUUAACGGAACUUAAUUUGAAGUUUCGUAGCUCCAGUUAUAAAUAUUUUAGUGACUGCUGCUUAAGAAGACAACUUUGACAUAAACAUAAGAAAAUAAUGGAAUUGUGUGUAAUUAUUCUGUAAACUCUGGUAAUGCUCCAUAACCCUCUUCUGGUGACAGUUUGGGGUUAAGGGGUGUUACAUCACCUGCAAGGAUGGAAGAGAAAGGGGGUGAGUUUGGAAAACCCAGUGUGUAAAGUAUCCCAACCAGAGCCCAAAUCAAUUCAAGCUUUACUGGGCCUAAGCCCUAUUCAGAAAUUAGUGUUAACUGGGCAUUAGCCCAUAUCAAUAUUAAUCUGGGCCAUAGCCCCUUACAGUGUCAGAGUAUAUUGGGCCUAGCCCAUAUCAGUAUUAAUCUGGGCCGUAGCCCUAUUACAAGUCGAGAUAUAUUGGGCCUUGCCCAUAUUAACACAGUUGGGCCCGCUUCAAUAUAGUUAGCCCAUAACAAACAGUCUCAUAUGAUUAAUGCAUGAUAACCCCAUCCAACCCUGCACUUUUCUCCGUCCAUCCCUACACUUCCUGUGGGGAAUAAAUCACCCACGCCAUCCCUACACUUACAGUGUUAGCACCGGUUGCGGCACUAACUAUAAUCCGCAGCAAAGCUGCUUAUAUCAGAAUAUGUGGCACAGCCACCAGAACGGGUUCUUCCUCCAUAACAUAACCCAGAUCCCAUGCAACAGAUAUACAUGUCAUGGCAUACAACAAACAGAAUCAGAAUAUCAUGCAUUUCAGUCAAAAUUAACCCUAGGGAUAUAACGGUCAUUUUGCACCUAGGGUAAAAUGGUAAUUUUCAUACUUAGGGGUAGUUUAAUAAAAUUUACUAUUCUAGAGUUUACAUACAUAUUCUAACCAUUAACACAUUAACAGAAGCAUUUACCGAGCGUUUUUACUGAAUUGGGCCCGUUGGCCCACUAACUCAUUUUCGACCCAUUAAGCCCAAAUAUACCUAAGUGCACGAAAUUGCGCACUCUGCAAUCAUACUGCUUGCAUUACCAAAAUUAACAACCAAACCACCUCACGAGCGCUCGCACGCUCGCAAGUUCACAAAUGCCGGCUUUUCGGCUUUUCGGUUUUUGCCGAUCUAGUCUAUGAGUGGGUGUCGUUUACACAUCUGUUUUUCGACGAAACGUUGGCGAGUACCACACACGAGUUGCCUACAAUCAGUUACUAACACUUUAAACUAUGAAUCCAUAACAACUUAACACAUCAAACCCUUACCAUAUUUGGCCCUUAACACCUUAGGCACUAAAGUUCUUACCUUUGCCGGAAAAAAUGGACUAGAUCUAAUUCUGGUCGUUCCAAAUAUCCAAGCCCUCGAUUAGUAGCCUUUAAUCCACACUAGAGCAAAACAAAUCAAAUAACACCACUAAACCCUUUUAGUUUAGUCGACAGGCACCCUUUGCAUAUAGGGGUUUUCGGCUUUUCUUUAAAUCCCGAAAUAAAGAAUGGAAAUAAGAUUCCGAGUACUUACCACCAAUGAUGUACUUGUCAAGAGUGUUUCAAACACUUCCUCAAUCUCAGAUCCACAGUGAAUCUAAUCUUAGAAUGCGAGUAGAGAAUAGAACUAGAUAUUAAUUCUCGAAUCAAUAAAAUAUGAGGUUUAGGAAUAAAUAAUAAGAAAGUGGAGAUGAGUAGAAUAGUAAAAAGAUUCGGCUAUAGGGGAGAAAAGAAAAACAAGAAGAAGAAAAAUAGAAGAAGAGAAAAUGAAAUAUAUAUAUAUAAAUUUGCAACUUAACAAAACAAGAACCGAUUGAAAGGGAAAAAGAAUUAGCCAAAUUAAAUACCCAAAAAAAAAUCCUAAGGGCCAAUGAUAUACGGCACUUACUAGAUAUGGCUGAAUGAAUGUAUUUCGGCAUAGUAAUCCUUUUUAAAUUCCAAUUCCCUAAUUUGCUCGUUGAUUUUUGGCCAAAUUCAAAGUUCGAAUUUCAUUCAAACUCCCAACCGAUUAGCAAUCCACCUGCUUGCACCGCUUCAGCAUGCUGCCAAGAGUCCUGGUCAGACCCCAACUCCUUCCCCAUACGUGCAGCAAAAACCUUGCCUUCCCUGUGCGAGCCGAGGGCUCGAACUCCAGACCUCAUCCGCCAAUGCACCUUCACCUAAGCUGCUGGCCUCCACACCACGCUUCUUUCUUUACUAAUAUGGGGUCACAAUUAAUGUUAACCUUUACCUGCUGAAGCCUCAGUUACUUGCGAAAUAAAAAUGAAAUUUCACCUGCUAUACAUCUCAAACUCGCGACCUUCUAACCCCACACCUACGCUUCUUGCCAUUGCACCGAAAUUCCUUUCAUGUCACGAUCUUCUCAUAAUUAUUUAUAAACCUUACUUGCUUCGGUUCUGGCCUGUUUAAAAAUAAAACAUGAUUCGCCUUCGCCUGCAAUCGAACCCAUAACCUCUCGACAGGCCUGGCACGCUAUUGCCACUGCACUGAAGCUCUUCUCAUGAAAUAAUCUGCUCACAAUUAAUCUUAAGACUUAUCUGUUGCAGUCUCGAUUCGUUUAAAAACAAAAUAUGCUACUUACCAAACUCAAACCCCUAACCACAUGCACACCCACUUGACCACGUGCCUCUUUUGUGUCACCUUUCCUCUCAAAAUAUUUAUAAGGCCUCCUUGCGGAAAUUCUUGGUUGUAAAAAAAAACAACCAUUUGCGCACACCGUGCCUUGAACCCAGGCACCUCCCAUGCCUUCCUAGCAUGCUUAGCCACUGGGCCAAGUGCUCCUUUAUGCUAAAACGCAGCCCAAAUUAUUAAUAAGGCCUACUGCCCAGAUUCCCUAAGGUAGCAUAAAAUUAAAAUUUUUCUAGAGUCUUAAAUUGAACCCAAGCCUUUUCCCACACAAUAAAUCCAUCGUAAUUUCUUUAAUUACUAGACGAAACAUACUAAAUAAUAAUAAUAAUAAUAAUUUUAAAAAUAUAUCUAAUAAUAAAAAUUUCAAAUAUCAAUAAUACAGUAAAUAGUAAUAAUAAUUUUCAUAAAAAUUUUUCAAACAUACAUGCAGUAAUAUUUUUCUAAUAAUAAUAAUUUUAUCUCAUAAUACUAAUUAAAAUUUCGUAAAAAUUUAAAAUAUCCGUAAUAAUAAAUACAGUAAAAAUUUUCUAGUAGUAAUUUAAUUUAAAUUUUUUUUCCUUAAACGAUAAUAUUUAAAAUUUCUUAAUUAUUCAGGUUUUUUUCUAUCCGAAUCCCAGACUCAAGGCCCAAUUCUUUCUAGGCCCAAUUUUUGGGGCAUUACAAUCUGGUUCAGAUUAAUCAACUAAUUCUAAUGCAUCCAAACAUAUUUUAAUCAUAUAAGCUUAAAGUUAUGCAAGGUAAUAGAAUUCUUUUGGAAUCAUUACAAACUGAUCGCGUGAUUUCGUGAUAGGUUUUAAAUAUUUAUAAUUACUCGUUCUUGAACUAACUAUUAUCGCGAUGUAGGCAAGUGUACCUAUCGAACAGUAGUAUAGUUUUAGCAAGACCGAUUGUCGAACCUAAAGAAACUAAAAGUACUAGUAAUGACUGUCUUUUUAUUAUCUAGCCUAAGAAUAAAGAGAUUUUUGUUUUGACUAACUAAUUAUCUAAACUAAGAACGCACAGAGAAUGGAAUUGGGGAAUUGCUUUUGUAAAAAUCGAUUGAAUGAAGACAAUACCUAAGGAAAAAUCCACCUAGACUGUGCUUGUUAUUCUGGCUUUGAAUCGGAUGAUUUAUUCAUUUAACUUGUUCCGUAGAGAUCCCUAAGUUAUGUUAUUAUCCCUAUUCAAGACUAAUAACGUCUAAUCCCUAGAUUGAAUAACUGAGACUUUUCUCUAAUUAACACUCUAGGGUUGCAUUAACUCGAUCUAUGGAUCCCCUUAUUAGGUUUCACCCUAAUCCGGCAAAAUCUUGUCACCCUAUGUCUAGGCGCGCAAUCAACUCCGCUUAAUUAUGACAAAUGUACUCUUAAACAGGGUCUAUUCCUCCUCUAAAUAAGAGCUUAUCUUGAAUCAGUAUCCUGGGAUAUCAAAACAAGAAUUAAGAACACAUAAUUAAGAACAAGUCAAAUAUUUAUCAUACAAUUCAGAAAAUAAUAACAAGAUUCAUCUUAGGUUUCAUUCCCCUUAGGUAUUUAAGGGAUUUAGUUCAUAACUAAAUAAGAAAACAUCUCAGAAUGAUAAAGAAUACAAAACAUAAAGAAACUCAAAGCUCCUGAAGGGAAAUUGAGGAGAGAUCUUCAGUCUUGAUAAUAAAUCCGGCUUCUGAGAUAGAUCAAUCGGCUUCCUUGGAGUAAUUCCUUACUCCCCUCAUCUGUCCUCCUUUUCUUCCUCCUCUAGGGUGUAUUUAUAGGCUUUGGAAUGCCUAAGAGCCCUCAAAAUUAGCCUUUUCUGAAUUGGACUCAACUUGGGCUUGGCAGGGACACGCCCGUGUAACACGCUCGUGUUCGAUUACUUCAGGCCGUGUUUGAGCUUGCCCAAUUGACACGGCCGUGUGGUCUGCCCAUGUGAGGAGGUCCAGGCCGUGUUGAUUUCGUACUUUGGCCCAUUUUCCCUGUUUUUGGCUCGUUUCUCGUUUCUCUCACUCUCAUAUGCUCUUCUAAGUGUAAAACAUGAAAUUAAAGCAUUAGGAGCAUCGAAUUCACCAAUUCUAAUGGAAAAUCAUCCAUAAAAUGCAUUAAAUAUGGGAUAAAAAUAUGUAUAAAUUACGGUUUAUCACAAACCAUUAAUUUAUUCUGGGUCGGAUAUAAAUUAAGCAUGCACCUUCCAAUUAUUAUGUCCACUAAUCACUAUCUGGUUCGAAUUAAUCAACUAAUUCUAAUGCAUUCAAACAUAUUUUAAUGUAUGAAUAACAUGAAUGAUUUUAAUUGGAAGCAUGAACAAUUAAGACACAGAACAAUAAAACAUGAAUUGAAUGAAUUUAAUCAAACCAUUGCAAUUAUUCUAUCUAAAACAAUUUAAGUCAUCAUUAUUAAUGGAAAAAUAAUCAAACAUUUUGCAAACAUAUUUAAAAAAUAAUAAAAAAUUAAAGAUAAAGGAAGAAAAAACUCUUGAUGAAUUCAGUGAUUCCCUGAAGACUGUUCGUGGUGGUUUCCCCCAAUUUCUAUGGUUGCUCUUUCGCAAAUUCUCCUUAAGGUGGAGCCAAGAAAGUUUUUCUCAAGGAAAUGCUAGCUAAAAGAAAAUGGAAAGAUGGAGAUCUUUAAGCGUGGAAGAGAUAAGAGAAAUAUAAUAGAAUGUUGAGUGGUGAGGGAUGGUUUGAAAGGCGAAUGAGAGGUGCUAUUUAUACUUUAGGGAGAGCUUGAGAGUGUCAUGUAAUAUAUUCUGAUUAUUGCGUAUGAUUGGAAUAUCAUUUUUGUGGUUUGAUAUUGUAUUUGACAUACCGAUUGAAACUUUCGUAAGUGAUAUUUUUAUACACAUGCUUGUCUGAAGUAUUUAUUAUAUCGCUUAGUUUUUUGCCAUCUGUUCAUGUUUCGAACUCACACUGAGCUCGUGUAGCUCAUCUCUGUACUGUUUUUCCUUUCAGGUACAUUCUGUGUUUUGGAGCUAGACUCGUAAACCAGAGGUCUCAAAAAGAUAUGGUUUGAUUCGGUUUAAAUAAAAUCUCAUAAGUUUUAUACGGUUAGUUUUAAGUCGGUUUGUAAAACGACUAUAUAAACUAUGGUACAAGUUUUUAUGCUGGACUUUCGUAAGGUGUUAUUUGAACUGAACUUUAGAAAUUGUGGAUUUUAUUUUCUAAUGUUUGACGCCGGUUUAAUAUGUUUUAAACAUAAUGAACAAAAUUUUUUUUUUGGUUUGAAUUAAAGUUUUUGUUUCCGCCACUUUUGGUGGCCAAUGUAACCUCUGAGAUUCGGUCUAAAGUUCUACGCCAAGUUUUAGGGUGUUACAUUUAGUGGUAUCAGAUCCUGGUUUGCAAAACUCGACCUGUGGUUUUACGUAUCCGUGUGUGUGUGUGUUCGUUAAAAAAAAGAAGUAUUUGGAGAAAUUGUACCACAGUGUUUUGAAAUAGAUUUUGUCAAAAUGGAAUGUCUGAGACUCUAGUGCUGGUCCAUGCGAAACUUUUAGAUUGUAAAGAUUAGUACUAUAAGAUUAGAAAUGUAAUGUUUAAUAUUUUUGUUGUCUUCGAUUUUUUUAUUGUAGAUUUCUUAAGAUUAAUUUCGAGGUUCGUCAUGGAUUCUGACGGUAAGUGGGAUCGUGAAGAUCAGCCUGGUGAGUCUUUCGAGGAGUCGUCAGCUUCUCUGGUACGUGUGUCUCUUUAGAAGUCAGAAGUUAAUGCGGUUCCGCCAAUUUUGGGUAACGAUGACCUGGAGGUUUGUACUAAGGCGUUGACUCGGGUUGUGAGAGAAGUGUUAGAGAAAGUCUUCGAGGCUAGUUUAGAGAGAACUAGAGAGAUGGUUCAAGGUAGGUGUGCAGAUUGUAGGAAGAAAAGAGAUCGUAGUUCUUCGAGGUUGGAGCCUUGAUCUUCGAAGCAUGUUAGGUCUCAGCGAGAUGUCAGUAAGAAUAAUGUGAGAGGUUCUAGUAGUGGCGCGAGUGUGUCAAUUUGUGGGUAUUGUAAGAAGCAUCAUUUGGGCGAUUGUUGGAAAAAUUUGGGAGCGUGUCUUAGAUGCGGGUCCACGGGGCAUCGAAUUAGGUAUGGUGUAGGUUAAUUUGAUUUUGCAUGCUAUUGUUGAGUAGAGUUGACUUUCUGAUUGUGGAUAGUGUUUGUCUAUGUGUAAUAGUCAAGUGAUUUGAUCUGGUGUAGGGGUUCAAUGUUCUGGUUAUGUAGGCAAGAUUCUAAGGUUAAGUACGGUAGGGUAUUGAAUCAAUAUCAGAGUGCACAACGGGAGCGUAGUGGUGACUUUUGGGUUUAAGCAUUUGUUUUAUUAGUGGGAAAUUUCGGGGACGAAGUUUCUUUAAGGAGGGGUGAGUUGUAACAUCCCGGAAUCUGAGGUUAGAAGUUUUGAGAAUUGUGGUUAGGGUCAAUGAGUGGGUUGAACAUUUGGGAUCAGUUUCGCGUUUUAAUAUUAGAAUGGGCCUACUAGUUCAGUGGUUCUGAGCAUGUUAACUUAUCUCUAGGCCUCGUGUUCAAAUCCCUAUAAGUGUUUUUGAUAUUUAUGUUUUUUUUAUGUUUUAUUUUAUUUUAUUUUAAGAGGGAAAGUUAUUUAAAAAAAAACAAAGUUUCACGUUCUUCUUUAUUUUCUUUUUUCUUCCCCAUUAUUCCUUUUCUUUUUUCUAUUCUUUCCAAAUUUCAUUUUCGUUUGUUUAUUGUUUCUUCUAUUUUACGCACUUUGUAUCUAUCGUUCCGUCAAAUGUGAUUACUCUUGUGUGUUUCGUGUAAUCGGAUGUGAGUCAGAAUAGUCUUGUGGAGGUGAAGUAGUUAAUCAUUGUUGUUUGCAAUUCCAAUUUAAGGUGUGUCUCUGAAACUUUUGAUUUUAAUUGUUAAGUUAUUGAUAGAUUGCAUGAUAUUUUGCAUAUUUCAGUAUAUUUUUAGGUUACCAAAGGACGGGGAUCGUUUCGAUGUCAAAAACACGAAUUUUAGUCUGUUUCAGUAUGGUUUCGUGACCACACGGGCGUGUGCCACACACGGGCGGUCCACACAAUUAUAUGCAAUUGGGAAAUUAGGGUUUUCAAUGGUUUUGGUUCCACAUGGCCUGGCCAAAAGGGUGUGUGUCCCCACACAGACGUAUGAGAUCUCCAUAUAGUCGUGUCUCCUUUGCUCCUUAUUUUUAGUACUUUUGGACAGUGAGUUACACAGGGUAUUCACACGGCCGUAUAACUUGGUCACACGGGCAUGUGUCUCCUCCACGUGGGCGUGUAGGCCUCCACACUGCCUAGACACUUCUACACGGUUGGGCCACACCGCCAUGUAGCCCUAUUUUGCAGAAUUUUUGUUUUUAGUCAUAGACUGUCUGUUUUAUGUUUCUGUGUAAUCUGACCCUCGGUUAAGCCUCUGUAAGUGUGUUUGGGACUUGAUUUAGUUUGGUUCGUGUAUAUAUGUGCGUUUAUAGGCUUUAAUUUUCUUGCUUGUUUAUGUCAUAAAUAAGUAUGAGUUUAUUAUUGUUGUCGUAACUAAAUAUUAUAAUACAAGUGUAAUCAAAUCUGAAUCUGUUCAACUGGAAAUGUUAAUGUCUGUUUCUAUAUGUUGUCUACAUAAUAUGUGCAUUGUUGCAUAGCAUGAAAAUUUUGGGAUCUGGUGAUGGAGAGAAGGAAGACAGAAUUAACAGUUUUAACUACGAUAUUUUUGUAUAGAGGUUUACCGUACUAACCUAUGCUUAUAUCAACUCAGCUGUAUACAAUUACUCAAGUGGCAUAGUUCCACGUUGUGGUAUGUAGGGUGGAUGAACUAUUAUGGUUCUAUGUGGUGUGCAUGGUAGACGGGCCUACCAUAGCUCUUAUGUGGUGUGCUGGAUGGACAAUGUGGUGUUUGGUUGGUGGGGUGGGAUUUUGACUUGUGCAUCCAUUCGCAUCUGAAUAUACGUCUAUUUUUCAGAAUAUUUUGUCUGUUUUGUGUGAACUUUUGGUUAUUAAAAAUAUAGUUAAUGUAAUGUAAUAUGUUUUGAUUAUUGCGUAAGAUUGGAAUAUCAUUUCUGUGAUUUGAUAUUUUAUUUGACAUACCGAUUGAGACUUUCGUAUGUGAUAUUUUCAUACAUAUGCUUGUCUGAAUUAUUUAUUUUGUCACUCCGUCUUUUUCCAUCUGUUAAUGUUUCGAACUCACAUUGAGCUCGCGUAGCUCAUCUUUGUAGUGUUUUUCCUUUCAGGUGCAUUCCAUGUUUUGGAGUUGCACUCAGUAUACGGGAGGUCUCAGAAAGAUAUGGUUUGAUUUGGUUUAAGUAAAAUCUCAUAAGUUUUAUACGGUUAAUUUUAAAUCGAUUUGUAAAAUGAUUAUAUAAAUUGUGGUACAAGUUUUUAUCCUGGACUUUUGUAAGGUGUUAUUUGGACUGAACUUUAGAAACUGUGGAUUUUAUUUCCAAAUGUUUGAAGUUGGUUUAAUAUUAUUUCAAACAUAAUGAACAAAAAGUUUUUCAUGGUUUGAAUUAAAUUUUUUGUUUCCGCCACUUUUGGUGGCCAAUGUAACCUUCGAGAUUCGGUCUAAACUUCUAGGUCGGGUUUUGGGGUGUUAUAGGGAGUUUGCUAAAAAUAGCAUGCACAUCCCUUAAGAAUCUCCCAUGCAUGGCCGACCAUGAUUUGUGGGAUGAGGGGUUGUUGGUUGUUUGAUUUGUGACCAAUUCUCCAUUGAUUUAAGGUAUGGGGUUGGACGGCAAUCAAGGGACUUAGUUGGGGUUGAUUUGUAAUUUUUCACACAUGUAGGGACCUUUCUCUAAUUGUUCCAAAGCUGAUUUGGACUACUUUUUCAUGUCUUUGCUGAAUUUGGGCUCCUCUUCCCCCUAUUGGACAGUUUGGCAACCCAAUUAGAGAGUAGGCUAAUUCUUUUCAGCAACCAUUUUUCAAGCUGAGUUAGAGCAAUUUUUAUGAGCCCAAUUCAUCAGCUUGUCGUCCACAUUUUUGGAUAAUUAGCUCACUUGCAUGUGUUUUCUUACUAGCUCCCAACAUUAAGUAAUUUAAUGGUCUAUACUACAACAUUUUAAAAAAGAAAUUAUCAUGUAGAAUAACUUAGUAAAAUUAUGUAAAAUUAACACCUAAUUAUGUAAAAUUACAAAGUUUACUUAAAUUAUGCCCAAUGUCUCAAUAUGAACUAAAAUUACACAAUUAGCUAUCCAAUUGUUUGGGAUUUGCAUAAAUCCCCAGUAGAAAGGUGCUAAAUAAACCUAUAUAAUUUAGACUUAUCAUUGGAAAAUUGCAUGUUGUCGCGACAAGAUUUGAAUUCCAAGCCACGACACGACAAGGAACACCGUCGUCUUGAUGAGGCACCUAGUCGUCUUGACGAGGCCAAGUCAGUAUGUCAUGUCGUGACAAGAAAAUCCAUCAUGUUGUGACAUUGACUCUGUAUUUUAAAUUUUUUACAAUUUGAUCCUAUUACUAUCUUAGGUUAUCUUUAGAGCUUUCGUAGGCACGUAUAAAACUCUAAAAUGAUUACUUAUCAAAUUAUAUGCUUAUAAUAAUUGUAUUUGUAUAUCUAAUGGUAUGAGAUUGUAUUUAUUUUGAUUGUAGUUGCUUCGACAACAAAUGUGACGCACUGUAGCCUGGACUCGAUGAUCGGGUUGGGUACAGGGUGUUACAGCUCAAGCACACCCUCGACGUAAUUUAGGGUACGAGGAUGGCAAAGAAGGUCGUUUAGUUGAAAUUCGGGAAUAAUUUAAAUUUGUCUCGCAAAAAGCACAAGUAUUUUUUGGGAAAAAAGAUUUGUUGCUAUAAAUAUUGCAACUUAACUCCGUUUACAAAACCUUUAAAUUUUCGUUGUGACUAAAUAUCGUUUUCUAACCUAGAUUUUUUAAAAUGAUUAUGUAUUGAUACCCAUGGUAGUGGUACUUAUACCAUAACUUAAAGUACCAAAACAUAAGCAAAUGGAAUGAUACUUAUCAACCAUGUGUAAUGGAGUAUGAUUUUAGUUAGGGAUAAUAUAUAAUUUGGCCCCUGAACUUGUCCAUUUGUUCCUAGUCGAUCCCUAAAAUUUUUUUUUGGACCUAGUUGGUCCCUAAACUUGUAUUCCAUCAACCAUGUCGGUCCUCUAUACUAACAUCGUUAGUUUGGACUGACAUGUCAUUUUUAGCCAAUGUAGUGGUUUCAUGUGGCAGCUUCCUAAAACGCCACAUGGCAAGCAUAAUUUAUAUAUUAAUAUUUUUUAAUUUUUGUUUUCCAUGUGGCACCACUGGAUUUGGCUAGAAGUGCUACAUCAGCACAACUAAUAGUGUUAGUGCGGAGGUACUAACCUAGUUGACGGAAUAAAAGUUCAAGGACCAGCUAGGUACAAAUGGACAAGUUCAAAGGCCAAAUUAUAUAUUAACACUUUUAGUUACAUGUGAAGUAAUAAACUUUUGAGCGGUGAUUAAUAAAUUGCAUAACAACAAAUCAAAUUGAUUAUGGUUCAUGAUUAGGAAACUGAGGGACCAGUGAUGCCUUAAUGUAUCGAUUGUAACAUCACUUAAGAGGUGUUACAUAUAGUCUAUUAUCUUAAUUUUUAAUAAAGUGUAGUUUUUAGAGGUUUCUUAUUUUUUAUGUUUUUAGCUUGCUUUUAUUGUUUUUAUAAUAAUUCAUAUUCUUUGGACUUAGCCCAUGCUUAUAUUGUAGGACAAGUUGAAGCUAUAAGUGUGAUGAAAAUAUAACAAGCAAAUUUAGAACUUGUAGUAUGGUAUGUCGCGACACACAUUCAAUUGUGUUGCGACGCAUGAGCUAAAUUAAGGAUAAGGAUCUAGCCUAACAACCUUGGUGUGUUGUGAUGCAAAGAUCCUUGUGUUGAUACUUUCAGAAGUUAAUCAACAUUUUUAAAAUCUUUCAAAGGAAAAAUGAUCAUUUCACUCAAUGCCAAGGUUUUUUUUUUUAUCAAUAAGAACAUGAGGUCAUCAUAAUAAGGGGAUGAGGCUAGCUAAAAGGGUUAAUUUUAGGUUUAGAUUUUUUUUAAUAUAUUUUUCUUUUCUUUAUUUUUCCUUUUCUUGUAAAUAGUCCAUGGUUUGCUGUUUUCCCUUUUGUUUUCCUUUAUAACUAGCUAGUAAGUAUCUUGAAUAUUGAAGCAUUCAAAGAAUUAUAUUUUGAAUAUAUGAAUAAUAUUCAAGAUUAAAAGAAUAUUUUAAUUCAACAAUUUGGCUUACAAUUUUCUACUUUCAUUUCUUGCUUAUCUUGAGAUAAUGCUUUUUAUAUUUUGUAUUCAAUUAUUCAAUCCCAUUAUGUGCUAAACACUUAUUGUGGUUGAGUCUUACUCAAAGUUAAUGGGUUAAGUUCUCAAUCUACAUGAUUCGAGUACUUUUAUGGUUGCUUGUUGAUUAUUGAAGUGAACUUAGCCCCACUAUCUUGGAGUGACGCUCAGAUAAUGCUAUAUUUAAGUGAAAAUCCAAAAGGAACACUUAGUGAUUUCCUUCAUAAUCACAUCACUUCAUGAAGAUUCGAAAGGACCGCAAAGCUUAUUCAAUCACACGAAGAUUAUUCCAACUUGGAGCCUAAUUAGACUCGAGAGGGCACUAGGUGCUAACUUGGAUUGCCAACAUCAUAUGUAGCGCAAGUUAAGUAUUUUGGUUGCUUAAUCACAUUAAUCAAAGCAUUUUCUUAACAACUAAUUUUUUCUCUUAAUUUAUUUUUACUUCAAGUUAAAUACCUUUCCACAUUUUAUUUUAUAGUACCUAACUUAUUGCUUCUCCCCACCAUAUAAAAAUUAUUUUCCGUAUUGAUAAACUACUAAUAUAUUAGAAUUAGUAUUGGAUUCAAUUAACUAAUUGAGUGGAUAAAGAAACUAUGUUUCCUUGUAUAAUUUCAAUUAGUUUACAUGACAUUCUACUUCUCUUGGACUUAAUGCUUGGUAAAAUAUGAAACUCUUUAUAUUUACUUUGACCUAUGCACUUUCAAAAUAUUGCAAUGUGUCUCAUCUUCAAAAGAUAAAAUCUUAUUUUAUUUAAGACACAUUUGUAUACUAUCAUAUUCUCAAUGAGGGAUCUACUAUAAACUCAUAGCGCAAAUUAUGAUUUAAGCCUAACCGAUCAAUUUUUACAACCCAAAUAUCAUAUAUUUAAAAAUGAAUUCACUCACAAACUAAGAAUUCUCUCCAAAAAGCUUAAGAAACUAAUCAAUAGGACAAUUUAAUUACAAGAUUUUGCACCAAGCAAACUUCAUUGUAAUGAAUAGAAAUAUGCAUGUUCAAUUCAAUAUAUUCCAAGGAAGAAUGGACCUUCAAAUAUAAACUUUGGAGUGUUCAUUCAUUUAGCUUGAACAAAUCAAUCCAAAAUGUAACACCCCCAACCCGUAUCCGUUGCUGAAAUAGAGUUACGAGGCAUUACCGGAUAACACACCUCAUUUACAUACAUAUAAGCUUUCACAAUCAAAAUCCAUUCAAAACAUUCACAAUGUCCCUUAUAAGGCUCUACGAGACCUUAAAACAUGCUUAGAAAAGGUUCGGGACUAAACCGAUAACUUUUACAAACUUAAGGAAACUUUAAAAAAAUUCAAACAUUAAAGGGUCACACGCCCAUGUGAAUAGGCCAUGUGCCUCACACGGCUACCAAACAUGCCCGUGUGUCAGGCCGUGUAAAAUCUAAGGGAGGUUACUAACUUGGGUCACAUGGCCGACCACACGCCCAUGUGCCAGCCCAUAUGCCACACACGGCCAGUAGACACACCCAUGUGUCUAAGCCGUGUCAAAACUGUAGGGUAUACUGACUUUAAAUUGAAAGGUACCCCAGGGGACACACGACCGUAUACCAAGGCCAUGUGUCACACACGGUCGAGCCACACGCCCGUGUGCUCAGCUGUGUGGAGUGAAAAUAGACUUGGUUUAAGUCACAUUUCUCAUAUUCCUCAAGCAUACCUAAACCAUAUCAAAUGGCAUCAUUUCUAAACAUAUAUAGACAGCCAAAACAUGCCAAUUCACACACAUAUCAUACCAUCUAUUAUCAACCAUUUCAAUUACCCAAUUUCACAUUCAAAACAUACUAAAUCAUUAUGCCAAAACAAUGUACCAUAAUCAUCACAUAUUAUCUCAUUUCCAAAUACAUUAACUCAUCAACCCAUCAUCUAUUUCAAGUCACAUAACUUACCAUGUUAAAAUAUCAAAUCAAACCACAUUAUGCAAAUUUCCAAGCAUUAGUACAUCAAUUACCAACUAACCGAAUAUACAACCAUUUGGCAAACAUACUAAAACAAGCCAACACUUAGAACAUUAUAUACAUCACAUAUACCAUUAUUAAACAUAUAAUUCAAGCCAACUCAAAUGGCCCUAUAUACCAACAUUUACAAGCCAAAUCACAUGGCCAAAAUCGUAACUCAACAUAUCAAAAUGACACUAGUCUAUACAUGCCAUAUACCAUAUAUAUACAAAACUUUAAAAGUACCAACAAGAUGAUUGAUAGUGCAAUGAUGUAUUCCUGAUGAUCUCCGAGUCUGAGUUAGCUUCGAUGAUCUAAAAACAUGGGAAAGAACACACAAAGUAAGCUUUAAAAGCUUAGUAAGUCAUACACAAAUAAAUCAUUUUAUGAAUCAAUAUCAUUAUCAACAAUUAAGCAAAAUAUGAAUAAACACAAUUAAAUACACAUUAAAGAUCACAAACCUUUCUAUUAAUCAAUUUAUACUUCUCAAACAUACCAAUUCAUCAAUUACCUUCUCUUCUCAAAGCUCAUAUAAAUUUCGUACAUACCUGAAUCACUUAGCUCAUUCAUAUACUCUUUCUUGACUUUGCCCGUUAACAUCAUGAUAACCUAAUGUCAUGACAUUCAUAUCCUAUACUAUUCCUAGGGUUCAUACGGGAGUUUCAGAUGUCGUAACUUCGUCAAUUCAUGCUCGUACUUGCUCAUUCAACAUUCGUAACAAUUCAAUGAUAAUAAAACAUGUAUAAUUCAAUUCAAAUACAUUUAUUUGCAUAUGAACUUACCUCGUAGACGAAAAAGACAAAUUGGAUCGAUUACUCGAUAACUUUCGAUUUUCCCCGAUCCAAAUCCGAUUUCUUUCUUUCAGGAUCUAUAUAAAUUCAAAAUUAACUCUUUUAUUCCUCAAUUCAUUAAAUUUUAUCCAAAUCGCACAAUUUGGGGCAUUUUACACAUUAACCUUAUAAUUUCACAUUUCUUACAAUUUAGUCCUUAUUUCAUAUAUACACAAAAUUCACAAAAUUUCCUUAUACACAUGCUUGGCCAAAUAUUCCCUUAGUUCAUAUAAGCCCAUAUAUUUCAUUUAUUUCACAAUUUAACCACAUAUUUUACACUUUUCACAAAUUAGUCCUUUUUAUGCAAUUUCACUAAAAAUCACUUUAUAGAACACGAUAAUCUAUCAACAAUUACUCAUUUUCCAUCAUCAAAUAUUCAAGAACUAAAACAUUCAUCAAUGGAAAUUUACAAAAUCACCCAAAAUUCAGAAAUUAAGGUACGAGUUAGCUAGUACUCAAAGCAAUGAUCACAAAAAUAUAGAAAUCAUUAAAAACUGAGCUCAAAACAUACCUCAAUUAAGCCAAGUACUUGCAAAAAUUUCAAACCCUAUUUUUAACUUAUUCUUUUCUUUAUUCAACCAUGAAAAGAUGAUAAUGGAACCAUUUUUUUUGUUUUUACUUAAUAAUAUAUUAUUAAACAAUUUACUAAUUUAAUUAAACCAUUUAAAAUCAUCAUAAUAUAUGCCCAUUUAUGUCCAUAUCCAUUAUCAAUGGACUAAUUACAACAUAAGAACUUCACAUUUAAUAAGCAAUAGCAAAUAGACACCUUUAUCAUAUAGAAUGCAACUUUUGCAUUUUACGCGAUUUAAUCCUUUAGUCAAAUUAACCACUUAAACGAUAAAAUUAUCGUACGAAACUUUCACACAUAUAUAAUCACAUACUGUAAACACCAAAAAUAAUAUUAAAAUAAAUUUACAACCUCGAAUUUAUGGUUCUGAAACUACUGUUCUGAUCUAAGCUAAAACCGGGCUGUUACACAAAAUUUCAAUUUAUUACCCAUAUUAAUUAUCUUUGAAGCUUUUAAAAGGUUACUAAGAUAAAAGCUACAUACUGUGAAGGAGUGACAAGAGAGUGGCCACUUCUUGACCACUGAAAGUAAAAUAGUAAACAAACAGAAGACACAAAAGUUGUUUACGUAGUUCGAUUUUCCUACAUCUGCGAGCCUAGCUUGGUUAGAAAUAUCCACUAUCAUCAACACUUACAACAAGUAACCCUAAUCUAUCACACACCUAUGACAAUUUCUACACAUUUUCACAUUGAAGAAUGAUACUAUCACCACUAAAUUUUUCUCUAUGAAUUCAAUAAGUAAAACCACAACACCAAAGGUUUUACUAUUACUAUGCACUCAUAAAAUAAAAUGUCUCAUAAGGAUAGAUUAAGUGUCCAAUUCUCUCAGUACAAUAACUUGUACAAAUAUCUCAAUUAUAUAGAAUAUUUUGAUACUUGCUAACAUAAGAAGAUCAGUAUCAAUCUUUAUUAAACAACAACAGAAUAUGUUAAAUAUAAAAUAAUAAUAAAAUACAUGUAACGCCAUGAAUCUUGGGGCUAAAAGAUUUGGGUUUUGUGGUUGGGGUCAGUGAGAAGGGUACAUUAUUGUGUUUAGUUGAGCGUUUAAGUGUCAGAAUGGGCCUGCUAGUCUGGUGGUUGAGUGAAUGCUAGGAUACCUCAAGGUUUUGGGUUCGAGUUUUUGGGUGCGCAUUUUUGGAGAGCCUUUAAUCUUGCUUUGUUUUAAUAAUUAUUUAUUUUUAUUUUUCUAUUUUUUGGGAGGUGGACAGUAUUGUUCUUGUUUCUGCCUUUUUCUUUUAGUUUUUUUUCACUUCUUAUCUUUUCUUUUUGGGAAAAGUGGUGGUUUUCAAAAGACUUCAAUUUCUUGGUCAUCGGGUCAGCAUUUGAACGUUUUUGUUCGCAAAACAGGUGUGGAUUCGAACCUUAACUAUUUUGUUUUACGAAUCGUAAUUUUGGCAUUUCUUGAGUGUACUAUAACUCGUUGAUUUGGGAGUUUAGUUGUUGAACAAGUAUAGGGAAUAUUGCGUAUUCUGAUGUACUUUUGACAUUUAAAAGUUUGGGGACUGUUUUGACUGCUAAAAUAAGGUUUUUAGCCUGUUCCGAAAGAGUUUCGUAACUACUUGGGUGGCCACACAGGCGUGUGCCUGAUCACACAACCGUGUGAAAUUAGAAAUUAGGGUUUCCGGGCUGAUUUGGGUGCCACACGGCCAUGUGGCUGAUUUGGGGAUUUUGUCGAUUUUCACACAGUCGUGUCCCUCGGCACACGAGCUUGUGUGAUUAGGAAUUAGGGAUUGAGUGAUUUGGUGCCACACGGCCUGGCUACACGACUGUGUAGCUAAUUUGAGGAUUUGAGGAUUCCACACGGGCAUGUAUUUUGGACACACGACCGUGUCUGGUGGGCACACGGGAGUCUGAAACCCUUACACUGUCGUAUCAGCCCUGUUCUCAAAGUUAGUACAAAUAGACAGGGAGUUACACGGCCUGUUUCCACGGCCAUGUCCCUAGUCCACACGGGCGUGUGCCUUAGUCACACGGUCAUGUACCUCACUUCACACGGGCGUGUGCCUCAGUCACAUGGUCGUGUGUCCUUCUUUACGCGGGCUUUUGACCUCCCACACGGCCUGGGCAAUUCCACACGGCCAGAGCAUACGAACAUGUGGUUUGAAUGCACUUGUUUCGGUUCUCUAUGUGUUUCUCAUCUAAAAAUGUGUCUGCGUGCUUCAACCCUUGUCUAAGCUUUAGUAAGGGUCAAUAAGACUUCGAUUUGGGCUUCAGUGGUUAAGUGUUAUUUGUAAUUGUUGUGUGAGAUGUCUAAUUCUGAACCCGAUUAACUGAAUGUGGGUGUGCAUAUCUAUUCUGUCUGACUAUCUGUGAAUGUGUCACUAUUCUAUGAGAUUUUGUACAUACACAUACAUUUGCAUAAACUAAAGAUUUGGGUGGGACUGCGAAGAAAAAGAAGUCUGAUUCUGAUCUGAUCUGGCAGUUUUACUGCAACUUAUUUGUACAGCGAUUUAUUGCAUUGUACUGCAUGUAUGUCAGCUUUGUUACGUAUCAUUAUAUGAUUUAGUAGUGUAACUGCAUGUUGAUAAGCCAUCGUUGCUGGGCAACCCGGGGUGGUAGUUGUUCGAUAUUGAAUUGUGUACUGUAUUUCUGUUCUUAAUCUUGUUUCGAACUCACACUGAGCUCGUGUAUCUCACCCUCUCUUAGUGUUUCCCUUUUAGGUACCUUUUUCAGAAUUUUUGAUGCUAGACUCGGUUUGCAGAGGUCUCAGACAGUCUCAGCGGGAAAUAAGCUAUUAGUUUGUGUUUUCAGUUUCUACUUUGUUAUUCAAUUUUGAAAUGUAAGGUUUUUUUGAAAACUAUGGUACAAUUCCGUUUUAAGUUUUAUUCGCUUUUAUUCCGCUUAUUAUACUACCUUAAUUGUAAUUUUACUGAUUGGAUUUUAAAAGAUAAAAUAUUAAGAUUCGACAUGUUAAUUGUUUUGUAAAAAAAAUUACCUACGAGCACUUCGGUGAUCAAUGUGACAUCCGGGAUUUGGUCUAAACUUCUAGGUCAGGUUUAGGGUGUUACAAUACAAGGUAAGCAUGGACUCUUGACGGUUAAGCAAUUGGUGUUUCAAUUCAAUUCAAUCUAAUAUUCAUGAUCCCAAUGAUUAAAUAGGGUAAUUUGAUUUGACCCAAUAUCCAAAAUAUGUUUCUUCAAGUGUUAUAAUCUUCAAUAAUCAGCUAGACAUCAUCCACAUAAUCAACACAACUCAUAUAUAUUGUUCAAUAAUUGCCAACAUCUCAAAUAUGGAAUUUAUCUUAAACAACUUCAAUAAUAAGGGAGUGGACACUUCAUUGACACUUAAUUACCAAUUUGAUAUUUUACAAUAAUUUUUAAAUUGUAAAUAAUAAAGAUCAAAGACAUAUCAAUUAUAAAUUCCAUCCCGAAUCUUCUCGAUGAUAUAUAUUUUUUAAAUGGGAAAAGAAAACCCGUUAAAUCUUACUCUAAAAAUACUAGUUUACUUUAACAAUUGAAAAUAUCUUAAUUUUGUUAAAUUUAUUUUUAAAAAAGUACACAUAAAAAACUCAACAAUAAAUAAUACUAAAAAAAUCAUGACUUUAUAACUCUUGUAGCAACUAACUCCAUCAAUAAUCAAUAGUCCUUUUACAUUUCUUUCCAAAACUUAAUGCUGAACCAAAUCAUAGGAAAGGAAAUCCAGGAGCCAUUUUCUUGGGUUCCAUGAACAUCUAGCAGAAUAUUAAAUAUUAUGAGUCCAUUAAUGGAGUUAAAAAUGAAAAAUAUUAUGAGUUGAUAUGAAGCUUCCAAUGUUGAAUCCCUCUUCUAACAUCAGUUUUUGGAAUCUUUAGAUAGCAGCCUUUUCUUUCUUUCUUUUUUAUUAAGCAUAAUCCCUUAUUAAGCUACGCAACAUGUGACUUAGAAUUGUAAAAUAAAUUUUCUUUCAAAUAAAUCCUUUUUAUAGUUAAAUUCUGAUAGGAAAAAAUCUUUGAGAAAGUCAAUUCAAACUUUUACUUAUGUUGAUAUGGCCACAAAAUCAAACAGUCAAUAUAUCACUAAAGGAAAAGAAUCUGUGAGAUUAUUCUCGGAUAAAUAUCAAAAUUAUAUAUCAACUAUGAUUUAAUCUGUAAUUAUAUACAUGAAUUUUAAUUUGAUUCAAUUCUUAUAAAUUAUUAACACAAUUAUUGAUAUAACAUCAUUUUAUGUUUAUACAUAAAUAACUAUAUCUAUCCAAGAUAAAUAUAAUUUAAUGUAUUUAUUUUUCAAAAUAUGUAUGAUUAAAUCAAAAUUAAAGUUUCAAGUAUUUAUUUGAGCCACAAUUAAAGUUUCAUGGCACCAAAAUUGCACAUUAAAUCAAAGCUCAUAUAUAAUUUUGAAAUUUAUCCCUAAUAAUAAUUAGUCUAAACUUUGUACCUAGUUCUUGGAUAUUUUGGAUGGAAGUAGUAAUGAAUUGCAUUUCAUCAAAAAAGUAAGGUUAAAAUAUGCCAUUAGUCCUCGUAUUUUUCACGAAUUUAAAAUUUUAUCUUUAUACUUUUAUUUUUAGGAAUUUAGUUCUUCUACUUUUUCAAGUUUCAAAAUUCAAGUUCAGCUAUUAACACCGUUAAAAUUAUUUUGUUAAAUUCAGAUUAAUUACAGUAUUAUUUUUUUUAAAUACAUUCCUACCAAGUGAAGGUUUUUUAAUUAAAAUAUUCGAAUCCUACGAAUAUUUAUGAAUGAACGAACUAUAGACACACAUUCUUUUUCAAUGUAAUAGUGUUAUUAGAAAUAUCUAUGGGUUAGAUGAACCAAGGUCCAGUUUUUUUUAAAAAAAAUCAAGUUUAUUUUAUUAAAAAAAAAGAAAAGAAGUUUGAGCAUGAACCGAAGUCUUUGUAUUGUCAAGCAGAUAUGCAUGCGAAAAUUAUGUUAGUUAAGCUGAUUAAUUGUAAGUUUAAAAAACAAAGUUAGGGAUGAAGUAAUUGUAAAUCCAUUUUGACUGAAAAUGUGGGUGGUAAGUAGAAUCAAAACUUUUAAAAUGAAACUAAUUCCAGCUUUUCAUCUUUUUAAAUCAUAAAGUUAUACAAAUAAUCAAAUAAAAAAAAUUACGAUUUCUUAAAAUAUAAAUUAAUGAAAUUUUAUAAUAUAAGAAUACUAUUUAUAUAGGAAUUUCACUAAAUGGAUAUAAUGUCAUUUAAUAUUGUAUAGUUUCUUUUUUAAGAGAACCGGAGCUUCGUUAAAUAAGAUUAAUAUCCUGACUGUUAACGCCUAGGAGGCCUAUUAACUUCAACUAAAUCAAACAACCAAAAGGGCUGUUCUUUUUGCCCAAACAAAUCUAAAACCAGUCCCAAUCCCAUUCAUCCUCAUCUAUCAAGCUUGUUAUACUAAUAUUCAUAUUAUAUUUUACUUUUUUUAUUAAAAAAAUUAAGCAAAUUAGUUCUUAUAUAUGAAUAAUAAGAGCAAAUUGAUUUUUUUACUUAAAAUUUCAUUUAUUUGUACUGUAAAAUAUUGGCAUGACUGACGAAAUAAUCAAACAGUGACACGUGAUGGUACCUCAUGCUAAGUAGAGGGAUUGGGUUUUAACAGUAAAAAUGGAUGAAUUUUUUAAUAGAAGAAUCAAUUUGUUCUUUGAUCUAAUAACAAGAACUAAUUUAUCUAUUUUUAAAAUAAAAAAGACUAAAUACAAUCCGAUGUCUAAUACAAGAAUUUUCAUCAUAAACUUUCCUAAUUUUUGUUGUUUUCUGAAAUGAUCCUAUCAAUAUAGUAAAGUUAUAACAUAUACAUUAACAUUAUACAUGCACUCAAUUGAUCAUGCUCAAGAUUUGUACACUUGAAUGUGUCUAAUAUUUUUCAUAUUUUAACUAAUUGAAAUUGAAAGGGAUACAUACAUGUAUGAUUGAGUGCAUAAUUACUACACUUAUUUUAUUAAAUGUUAUUAUAUUUAUGUUGUCACUAAUUGAAAUUGUAUUUAAUAUUUAAAAAAUUUCACAAUGUCUAAUGUUAUUAUAUUCAUAUUUUAACUAAUUAAAAUUGAUUAAUUUAUAAAUAAGUUUAUAAUAAUUAUAUUGUAUUAAAUAUUACUUCCUUUAUUCACUCACUAAUUGAGAUUGAAAUUAAUUAUUAAUUAUACGAUUUGUUAUGGUGUUUACCACUAUCGACUCAUUAUUCGUCUGGGCUUGACCCGAUCCUCUUUAGUAGUGAUAGCAUACAUAGUUCGCUUUCAUGAGUUCGCAUCAUCAUGCAAGCGAACCUACACUUAGGGAACACGUGUUAACUUUAGAAUAAGGUACAUGUUGGCAUGCAUGGGGGCUUACCUACGACAUUACAUUCAGGAAUCAUAUCAUAUAAAUAGGAAAAUUAGUCUCCUUCAAAGGGAUACUCACAAAAACACUCAACAAUAUGGUGUGUUGAACAUGGAUAGGCAUCCGAUGAUCAGAAAUUCAAAAAAAAGAAAGAAGAUAACUCACUGUAACAAGAACUUCCCUAGCAACUUCCCAUUAGAUCAAGUUGGAGGUUUUGACACCGACAAUCAACCUCGAGAGAUGGACCAUUUCACUGGUUGGUUCGCUGAUCGAACAGAGAACUUAGGUAACUCAAGCCAAAGAGGUGCCUCGAACUCUUUUGAUCUCAAUGUUCCUUUUGGUUAGGGGCUAUCUUCAGGGGUGAGCGAAAUUCAAUUCAACUCGAAAAAAUCGAAAAAAAUCGAAUUUCGAGUUAGACAAUCGAGUUAUUCGAGCUAUUCGAGUCAACUCGAAUUUUUUUUUGAAUUAAGAGUUCGAAUCGAGUGGAGUUUUCGAAUUCGAAUAAUUUGAAUAUUAAACUAUAAUAUUUUACAUUUUUACCCCAAACUCCCAAACCUUUUUAUUUUUCCCUCAAAACUUUUACUCGCCUCCUAUCCCAAUCCCCCCAUCUACCCAAAAUCUAUUUCCCACCAAAAUUUUACUUUUCCUCAAAAUUUUACUCCUAAAAACCCUCAAAUUUUUUUAUUUUCCCUCUAAAAUUUUACUCCCUCCCACUUUCCCCCUAAAACUUUUACUUCCUUCCCAUCCCACCCCCCAUCUACCCCAAACCCAUCCCCCCUAUUUUUUUUAAUAUUUUCCCUCCAAAAUUUUACUCUCAUUAUUUACUUUCCGUCAAACUUUUACUCUCUAAAACUUUUUAUUUUCCCCUAAACUUUUACUUCUCACUCUUUACUCUCAAAUAAAUAAUCAAAAUUACCCAAAAAAAAUCUCUAAACAUAAAUAGUAAUAAUUUUAUUUAUAUCUACUAUUUACAUUAUUAAAUUAAAUUUCACAUUUUAUAUUAUUUAUAUUAUUGAAUUGUUUAGUCAUAUUGAAUAUUUAUAUUAAAAUUGAAUUAUUAAUGAUGCCAUAAAAUAUUCGUGUUAAAAUUUUAUAUUGGUAUCAAUUUCACAUUUUAUCUUUAAAAUAACUUUUAUUAAAAAAUUAUAUUUUUACAUUUAAUAUAUUUUUUAAUUCUAAAAUAUAUAGUGACAAGAAUAUGAAGAUAAUUGGAACAACUAAGCAAGCAAAGAAGCUAACCCGUAUAUAAAAUAUUAAUAAAUAAAUUAUGAGGUGAUGAAAGUUAACAAAAAAUUUGAUUACGGUGGCCAAAUUUUAUUACGAUGGGUGACAGUGGUUACCAUGACCCAAAAUUAUUUUUUAAAAAUUAACUCGAACAAAUAUAUUCGAUUCGAAUUCCAUCUCACUCGACUCGAUUCGAGAAAAUUUCAAAUCAAAUUAGGAUGAUAAAAUAUGAUUAGUCAACUAGAUUAAGUCGAAAUUUUUUCAUUCGAUUCAAUCGAACGCUCACCCCUAGCUGUCUUUUUCCUCUAAUCAGGGAGCAUUACCACAACAAUUAUUUGGUUUGCAAGAAUAGCUACGACUAAUGAAGGAGUAGAUGACUCAACAGAGUACCAGGUUCGAGCAGCAACAAUACUUGUUUCACCAAGAGUUGUUAAGAUAGAAUGAAGAAUUAAGGAGAAAGAUGCAAUUCGACCAUUCUAAUAUCCAAGAAAAAUGAGAUGGAUGCUUUGCGUAGAUACAUUCAAGCGUUACACCCUAAUGUAUAGGAUAUGGAUUGGUUGUCGGUUUUAACAACCCCUUAUCUCCAAUGGUUGCAUCUGUGGGCCUUUCGCCACAGUUCAAAGUACCAAAAGAGAUGUUUGAAGGUAUAAGGGACCUAAGAGCAUAUCUCAUACAAUAUAAUGAUUAUAUGAAUGUGUUAGGGGCUUUUGACGCGACGAAGUGUAAGCUUUCUUGACAACUCUCAGGGGAAGCGCGAAGGAUCGGUACUUAUCUUUGCCACAGGGUUCUAUUUGAAGCUUCUUACAAUUGGGUCAAAUGUUUUCGGGUAGGUUUCACGCCCAUAGAAGGAUAAUGAGCACCCUAGUGUUUUUAAUGUCAAUGAAAUAGAGAGAUGGAGAAUAUUUAUAAGAUUAUGUAAAACGGUUUUAUGUAACCAUGUUGAACACGAAGAACUUGGAAGAUCAAUGGGCUAUUAAUGCCUUUAUUGUGGGAGUUCAAAAUGAGUAUGUUCAGUCCUCAUUCACUGAUAGUAGACCGCAUAGUUUGGCAGACUUAUAUAAGAGGGCGCAUAAGUUUGCUGAAGCUAAUGAAAUUAAGAGAAUAGCUCGUGAUACCUUUCAGAGGGAUGAUAAACAGUUUAGAAGUCGUCAAAGUGUGCGUGGCUAGCAAGGUCCUUCUUCUCAGAACCUACGGGUCAGGGAUAAAAAAUGAGUUAUUCACAAAAUGUGACACCAAUGGCAUCCCAAAAGCCUUAGGGUAAACACACGAGAAGGUAUGUUUCUCAUGGAAAAUUUAAAGUUUACACUUCUUCAAAUGUUUCGCGUGUCUAUAUCUUUAAUCAGGUGAGAACCUUCGAAAUUUUAUCGAGUCCACCACCUAUGCUACCCAAUUAGUUGAAGUUUAAUUCAAGGGACAAAUGUAGUUUUCAUAAUGACAAAGGUCACAAGAUAGAUGAUUGUUUCUUUUUGAAAGAUUCAUUGAGGAAGCUGUCAAAAAUGACGAACUAAAAGAUUUUGUAGCAUAGGAAGCUUCAUCAUUACGAUAGAGAUCACGAGGUACUGAUAAAGAAAACAGAAGGUCAGAGGCACAAUACAUGUCAUGUUGGUACAAAUGAAGAAUGGGUGACGUCUAACACAAAGAGAAAGGCUCAUUUUGGAAGUGUGAUGUCUAUUAGUUCACCCAAGAGGUUACGUUAGCAAAAGAAAUAGAGGGUAAAAUUUUAUGAGGAAGAUAAUGAUUCAGUGUGCGGCAAGGAAGGAAAUGACCUAUAGUGGUGACAACAACUAGUGUUAGAUUUGAGGUUAGGAUAAUUCUAGUUGAUAGUGGAAGUGUUGUAAUGGUUUUAACUUGGGAAGUGUAUCAUAAGAUGGGAUUGGAAGAACAGGCUUUGAAGAAGGUGAGCCCUUUAUAUGGCUAACCAAUCCGUCGAGGUAAAAGGGUGUAUCACUCUACCUGCUACCCUUAGGGAUGGUGAGCACACUACUACAGAAUACGUUUAAUUUUUUUGUGGUAGACUAUCCCAUAGCUUACAACGCCAUUUUUGAACACUUUAUUAUGCGAAUGACCAGAAUGAUGAUUGCCACUUUUUGUAUGAAAAUCAAAUUCCCUACCAAAACAAUGGUGGGAUUCAUGAAUUCUAACCAGUAAUUAGCCAAACAAUGCCAUAUGUUGUCAGUUAAAUAGACUCGCGAGCAGAAGCUACAAGAUCAAAGUUCGCAAUAGGUAGAUGUAGCUAGUCAAGUUUUAGAUUUGAAUAGUUUGGAUGUUAAAAGCGAGGAAAGAGUUUGCUAGCCAGAGGCGAUAAAGGCAAUAGAAACUUUGCAAUUAUUUUAUGAUGACAUAUAAAAGUUAGUGAGGAUUUCAUCGACAUUAGUAAAAGAGGAAAAUAAUGACUUAGUAUAGUGUUUAAGGGAGAAUUCAGAUAUUUUUACAUGGUCAGAAGCGGACAUGCCUGGUGUGGUUCCACAAGUGAUUGCGUAUCGGCUGAAUGUGUUUUUCGAAGUUAUGUCGAUUAAGCAAAAUAGAAUAAGGUUCUCUCUACAGGUUGUGGAAGCCAUUAGACAAAAAGUAAGAAAUUGCUUUUAGUGGGGGUUAUUCGAGAAAUGGCGUACCCUGACUGGGUAUCAAAUGUCGUCAUGGUAAAAAAGGCUAAAGGCAAAUGGAGAAUUUGUAUUGAUUUUAGUUUUUAGUAUUGGAAUGUGAUGUUUCAAACAUUGGCAUAAGAGCGGUUCUAAUGCAAGACAAGUGCUCAAUUGCUUACUUUAGUGAAAAACUCAAUAUUGCUCAAGUAAAUUAUUCGACUUUUGACAAGGAGCUCUUAGCAUUGGUUCGAGCUCUUGAGGCACCCUUUGUCACCGCUUAGUUCGUAUCAUAAUCAUUUCCCUAUCUCAAUCGCAAUCACUCGUUCUUCUUCUCCUUCGAUUCUAAUCACUCACAAGGAAAACUCUCAAAGAUCAAAUUUACUCUUUUGUCCCUUUCUUCUAUUUUCUUUCUUCUCCAAAUGAUACCCCCAAAUUAUACCAAAUUUCAAAGGAAAAAAUAAAAAAAGAAGAAGAUAGAAACAGUUAAGAAAUAUUAUUAGGCCAUUUUUAUUUAUUUAAUCUCUCUAGUCUUAGAAAUAUCCAUUCUUAUAUUUUUUUAGAGAAGGAAAAAAUAGAGGUUUUUUAUUGGAAUAAUCUCUAAAAGGUUAUUUCUUUAUAAUAUAAUUCAUUAAGAGAAUCAAAGUGAAGAAAUAGAGAAAUUUUUUACCAAAAUUGGUAGCUUAAUUAGAUAAAAAGAUAGUUUUUCUCCUCAACAUGCUUGUAUGAUAUUAAGCGUAUCUAUAAGGUUGUUUGCAAUCUAGAGAUUAGCAAAGCUAGCUUGAUCAGAUAUAGUGCAUGUUCAUGAAAAAGUGUAGUGGGGCAAAUGUGCAGAAUCGAUGGAAUGAUGGUGUGUCGUAAGGUGGGAGGAUUGUGGAGUUGUUUGAUAAUGAGGGUCUAGUGUUGGCCUUGAGCGGUGUACUGGUGGCAUGGACUAGUGGAAUAGGUGUAGGGACAACUUGAUCUAAUGAUGUAAGAAUGUAUGGGUUUGGUGCAACAAGAUGGCCAGGUCACGUUGGAGGUUAGGUGGCUAGAAGCUAGUCAAAGCACUGAUAUAAAGUUGUGUUGGUGUUGUCUUAUGGUACAAUGAGCAUCUUUAGGUGGCUAGAAGAAGCAUUGGUUAGAUAUAGUGGCUAUGUUAAGGCAGAGGGGCCUUGAUUAAUAUAGUGGUGCGACUAAAUUAGAGGCCUACUUGCAACUUGAAGCUAGGAACGAUUGGGCUUUGUAGCAAUAGUGGAUGUAAUUGUGGGUGUUGAAUUUUGUAUUGGGCAGUAUGUUCUUAGUGAUUAGAGCUACAAUGCAAGGUUGAUGGUAACUAAAGGCAUGGGGCAAUGGAUAUUGUGAAGAGUUAGAUGAAGGUGCAAGGCAAGGUUACGGGAGAGGGCUUUGGUCAAUAAGUGAAGGGUGGCUAGUGGUUAACACAAGGGCGGUUGAAGAAAGAAAGAAAAAUUUGGUGGUAAAAAUAAAAUGAAAUUUGAUUGGUGAAAAGUUUGAGGACUAAAUUGAUGAAAUUUAUAAAUACAGAGGUUAAAUAUAUUGGAUUAUUGAGAAUUAAGACCAAAUUGAUAGAAUGUGUAAAUGUUGAGUGUCGAAACCAUUUUUUCAAAUUUAAAGAAAAACGGGGAAUCGACUUUAGAAACGAAAAUGUGGAGUCGCCACCAAUCUUUUUUGAUGAGGUGUGAUUGGAUCACCAAGAAGUUUGGUCAUUUUAAUAAAACAUUUUGGCUUACUAAAACAACAAUUUUGGUCUACGAAUUUUGAAAAAAUGGGUUCGGGAGUCGGUUACAUAUGAGGAAGGAUUAGCACCCUCAUUACGCCCAAAAUUGGUACCAAAUCGAUUAGAUACUAUCCUUAUGUCUAAGAUUUAAAAAUGUUUUUGAAACGUGGUUCCUUUUAAUAACAUUUGAAUAACCCGAGUUGGUCAUCAAGAUUCUCUUACUUAAGAGGAAUAAAGCAUCACAUGCAGCACGAUAGGACAUGAUCCUUUAUGCCCUCGAAAACAUGAUAAAUUUCGACUUCCAAAGGUUUAUAUGUUGAAAACCACAAAAGGAUGUCCAAUAAUUUAGUCAAACGAGAAAAUUGAAACCCAGCACAGUAGGCAUGACUCCUCGAAUUCCUAGACAUCAGACGUUGCCUUAUUUUAAAAUUUGAAGAACAUGAGUGAAAUUCUAAAGGAAUACUUGAUUAUUUGGAACAAACAGGAGAUCGUAACCCAGCACGAUUGGGCACGAUUCCCCGAAUUGCAAAACAUCGAACAUUACCUUCGUGUUGAAGAAUUUUUAAAGACAUGAAUGAAAUUCCAAAGGAAUGUUCAAUUAUUUUGAACAAACAGGAAAUCGCAACCUAGCACGAUAGGGCACGAUUCCCCGAAUUGCCAAACAUCGAACAUUACCUUCAUUUUGAAGAAUUUUUAAAAGCAUGAGUGAAAUUCCAAAGGAAUAUUCGAUUGUUUUGAACAAACAAGAAAUCACAACCCAGCACGAUAGGGCACGAUUCCUGAAUUGCCAAACACCGAGUAUUGCCUUCGUUUUAAAGAAUUCUUAAAUGAAUAAUUAUAAAAAUAGCUUAAAAUGUGUUAAUGCGAUUUAUAAUGAAACGAAAUUAAUAUUGAAGAUUUGCACCUUACAAAACCAAAUUUCAUAAGCCAAGUGGAAAACAAUGAUAUGAGAUAAUAGACACAUAUGAGAUACAAUCAAUUAACAAACUAAUAAUUAAGUAUAACUAACCUAAAAAAUGUAACCCGAUCACAAUCAUGCAUGAGAAAUAAUUAAUAUAAUAAUACAAUGAUGAAAAUAGCAAUAUAACAAUUCAACACAACCAAAACAAUACACACAAUAAUAUGCCACAAUAAUGUACAUAGCAUGGUAUGAAAUAAUCAAUGCAAGAUGUAAAAACAAAAUAGCAAUUAGAAGCCAAUAUGCUAUAAAACGAUUUUAAAAUAAUAACGAAUAAAUGGACAAAUAAUAUAUAGGUUGACAAAUUUGCAUAAAACCAUGGAUAUAUAAUUUUUGAAAUAGAUAUUAUAGAAUAAAAAUUUGAAUCAAAUUAUAUGUAAAAUAUUUUAAACACAAAUUAAUUUAAAAAAAAAUUUGACAAAGUACAUGAUAACUUAAAUAAUGUAUAUAAUAUGAAAGAAUAAUAAAUAUACAUGACAAGAUAUAAUACACCAAAUAGAUUUACAAAACAUAUAUACAUAAAUAACUUUCAAAAAUAAUUAUUUGUAAAAAGAGCAUGUACUUAAUAAUGUAUUUAAGAUCAAAUUAAUCUUAUUAUAAAUUAUAUAUGUGCAAAUUUUUAAAAAUAUAAUCAUGUAUACAAAGGAAAAAAUUAUGCGUAAAAUACAUGAAUUUAAGGAAGCAUAUGAAUCAAACAUAUGUCUCAAUAUAUGUAUAUAUGUACAAAAAGAAUUUUGAAAUGAAUGAUGUAUAAAAUAAUUUUAUGAAACAAAUUGAUUUGGGUUAAUGAUACAUAUUGAUAAUACACACAUAAAAAUGAUGAUAUAUGAAAGUGUAUAAAACAAAUAAAUCGUAGGUAGAACGAAUUAAAAUAUAUACAUAUACGUACACAACUUGAACAAUGCAAGGUUAAUAAAAUAAUCUAUGGUGAUAUAUUACAAGACGAAUAAUAAGUGAAUUUUAAAAAUAUAUAUAAAGAAUAAAAACAUGAGCUGAAAUACAAAAAAAAAAAUACUCAACUGAAGCAAAAAUAAAACUGGAAGGAUAAUUUACGAAUAAAUAAAAGCCACAAGACAGAUCUAAGGAUUAAAGCUUAAUGCGUACAAAUGUCCAAGGACCAAAGCAAAAAUUGUCCCCAAAUUCUAAAGCGCAGCAUUUAACAGUUGGUUAAAUUAAAACCAGGUACAAAUCUUAGGAACAAAUUAAAAAAACAAAAGGGAGUAAAAGGAUUCAAUUGAAUAAUGGCGUGAACAGAAAGGACUUAUCGUGCAAAUGUCCCUCCGAGACCUAACACGCGGAUCUUAACCAUGCGUGGGUCGGGUCAUUGGGUGAAGGCCACCAUACAGCGUCGUAUUUAGACCACUAAAAUUGGUCAAAACGGCGUCGUUUCUUUGCUCCCUUAUAAGGCUAAGCAGUGCCUUCCUUCAGCCGAACCCUAACGAUGCCCUAGCCUCCCCCUUUUGUUACUCAGCCAAACCCCAAAUGCUUCCCAGGCACCGAUGCGCCACCACGAACAGCGACCAACGCUUUCAGAUUCCAAAAGGGUGGCUUGUAGCCUUGAGAUCCCAUUCAAACUUCGAUUUCAGCGAAGUGAAAGGGAAACGAUGGCCAGAACGCAAGUAUUAUCCUCUUUUCUUUUCUUUUCUUUUUCGAAUAUAAAUGAGGGAAAAUCGGGGGAAAUAAGAAAAUGAGUCGAAAACGGGGAUCACUUUCUCAAGAAAUUACUUUUUUUUUUAUUUUCAAUAUCUGUGUAUUGCCUCUGUAUUACGUCUGUAUUGCAUAAAAAAAAAGAAGAACCUCCUUACAAUCGAAAAUAAUAGGCUUUAUAGUCGAAUGUUCAAAAUAAAAUAAAAAUACAAUUUUUUUCUUUGUUUUCGUAUUGGUUAUUGUUGCUGCCAUUGUUUUGUUUUCUUUCGCAGGUACGGAGUGCGUGGCGCGUGUACGGGGGCCGUGUGCUGGCAUACGGAGGCGCGGGCAUGGCUAUGGCUCCAGGAGGCUGUACGGAGGCGUGGAGGCUGUUGGGGUUGUUGCCACGCAAGCAGAAGCUGCUAGGGUUUCUGCCUUGAUUCUUAGUUUAGGCAUUGGGCUUAUUGGGCCAUCCGGGUUUUGGGUUAGGUUCUUAUAAUUGGGCUGGUUAGUUUGUAUUAAGUCUGGGAUUUGGGUUAUGUAAUUGGUCAUUUUAAUGGACUGUUAACAUUUAAUUUAAUUUUUAUUUAUUUUGUAUUUUGGUUCUUCUUUGGGCCCGGGCAAAUUGGCCUGUUUACAUUGAGGACUAACUGUGGUAUUAUGCCAAUUAAAAAAGGUCACAUCAUAAUUUUCGUUAACUAUUUAAUAUAGGGUGACCAAAACAAAAUCGAA